rnacentral:lncRNA from 1 species
UUAUACUAAUGUAUAUUUGACAUUAUCAUAACUUUAUGAGUACAAGGUACAUUUGACAAUAUCAUAAUUUGACGAGUACACUAAUAAUAUUUGCAUUUAAGCAUAACUUAAUCAUAACAUUUAAAAUCAAACAUUAUCUUUUAAAUUUAAAAUUCAAAUAUAUAUACUAAAAUUAUCUUUUAAGUCCUCCUUUUGAGAAGAUCUUUAAAUCUCUCCCAUCCCAAUCAUCAUAUCUUCAAUAUUAAUUUAAAACCCUUUUCAGGUUUGUGUUAUGUUUGUUUUUAUCUGUAAACUGUAUUGCACUGCACGCACACAAGUAUAAACAAGUACUCUAAAGAUUGGUAAAAGAAGAAAUUAAUAUUUUCAUAUAUAUUUUUGGGAAAUGAUUAGCAUGAAGUUUAUUUUUAGGUAAGUUGGUCAAUUGGUCAAUAAGGUGCUGACAUACAGGCGAGAUUCUAUGUGUGUCAGCAUUCUAUUGGUCAAUUGACUAACUUAUCAAAAAUUAAAUUUUAUACUAACCGAGUCUAUAUUUUUGAUAUUUUUAUAUAAUUACACUAAAUCUCAUCUUUAUAUGAAAAAGAAUUAUAUAAAAAUAUUAAAAAAAUAUAUGCAAAAAUAGUACUUAAAAAAACAGGUCAAGAGUAAAGAAAAGGGAGCUGAGCUUAUUAAGCUAAAGCUGAACAAAAUCGUGAGCUGCAACUCGGUUGUCAUGCUUUGUGUAAAAAUAAAAUACUCUUUUCGUUUUUAAAAGAUUAUCAUUUUAGAAAAAAAAAUUUGUUCUAAUUUAUUUGUUAUUUAUAACUUUUUUGGAGAAUAUAUUAUUUACUUUUGUAUAUCAACCCUAUCUUCUCUCAUUGUCAUACUAAAUUCUCUUCCUUUUAUUAAUAGUUUUCAACUUCCUAUAAAGUGGUAGUAAUGAAAUUUCAAAUAAAUUUUAAUUGUUACUCCCUCCGUUUCUUAAUAUAAGUCGUUUUAAAGAAUUAUUUUUGUUUUUUAAUAUAAGUCGUUUGAGAUUUUUAAAUAAACAUUAAUUGUCUAGUUUUCAAUAUUACCCCAAGUAAUAAAUAUAAUUUUGAUUCCCUCACUAUUUCUUUUCCAUAAAUACCAUUAUCUUUUUCAAUACAAAUGUAAUAUAGAUAAUUGAUAUUAUAUUUAAUGCUAUGUAAUUAUUUUCUUAAUACUUGUACAUAACUCUAAAACGAUUUAUGAAGUACUCCCUCCGUCCCUAUUUAAAUGACCUUUUAGAGAUGGGCACACCCAUUAAGAUAAUGAUUGAAAAAUAUUAAAAAUAGUACUCAAUUGUCUAUAAUACUUUUAAAUUAUUAAUGAAUUUAAAGUACCAAAAAUAAUAAGUAAAGUAAUGAGGAGUAUUCAAUGAUACUAGUACUAAAGAACGGAAAAUGAUACUGGUAUUAAAUUAUUUUUUUAAUUCUUGUGUAAAAAUUUUAAACGAUAAUGUUUUAAGAACCGUGAGUACUUGAUAAUUACCGGAACCUGACAUCACUGACACCAACAUAUCAAUUCCACUGCGGCCUCGGCCUCCUCUUUUAGGAACGGAGUACUCUAUUUUUUAACUCUCUCCCUCGGCCUCCUCUAGCAGAUCGAUCUUAUUCUCUCUCCUCUUUUACGGCUUAACAAAACAAAACAAAAUCUCUAAUCUCUCUCCUACGGCUAAACUCCACCCACACUUUUGACUUUAUCGUCCAAUCAUCAAUCGAGCACAUAAAAGUGUUGGAUUCGCCGGCUUCAUUGUCAGUCUUACUUUCCGGCGCUCUUCACCAGAUUUCUAUGAGAAUUCUUAAUUCGGGAUUGAUGUAAAAUAAUGAAUGCUCUGCUUCUCGAUUUAAAUUUGUUUCUCGAAGCACGGUAAUCGAUGGUGAGCUUUUGGAUCUAGAUCAAAAGUUCGUCUGGCGACUAUACCGGCGGAGAAAGCGUCGUGGUGUUUUGGCUGUCAAUUGGACCGAGGUUGUAGCUUUCCGGCCAGAGGAGAAGGGGGAGAGACUAGAGAGACACACAGGUGGCUGAAAAUGGAAUGUUUACAGGUCAGUAGUGGAAAUCUUGAAGCUUAUAGAGCACUAAGGGCAAAGCCAAAUUGAUUGCUUUCUUUCUGUCAAGUACUCAUUUUUUUUAAUGUUCUCUGCUACCACCAUUAAUGCUUAUCAACUGUCUAUUUAUUAGCUUCUUCGGAGUGGAGUUGAAAUAUCUUUAUCCAUCUUUAUAGAAUUAUAUAUAUAUAUAUAUAUAUAUAUAUAUGUAGAGAGAGAAAGUUGAAAUUUUUAAAUCGUUGGGGCUAGGCUUCUCCCCUUUCUCUCUCUCUCUCUCUCUCUCUCUCCCUCUCCCUCUCUCUCUCUCUCUCACUUCCACUUUGUAAAAUCACUUUUUCUUUACUCUGCAGCCACCUCCUCAGAUUCUGUUACUAUCUUUCUGAUAUCCAUCUAUAAACUUGAACAUUUUUUAUUUUAUUUUUUUAUUUCCCUAUAUAUAUUUGAAACUUAUGAUAUCGCGAUUAGUCCUCUAGUUGCCUUAUCUGCCGAUCUACUCUGUUUUUUCGAUGUAAGACUGUCUAUUUUCCUUUCUAUGAUUUUUUUUUAAAUAAAGUCUUUGUCAUGAUAAUUGAUUUUUUUAAAAAAAUUUGUUUUGCAGUAAAAUAGGCAAUACAGAGGAAUCAAGUGUUUGUGUUUACGGAUUAAACUGGUAUGAUUUUGAUGCAGUACCUUGUUCUUAUUUCUGUUUUUUACAUUACUUUCUUUCACGUAUUUGCAGAUUUUGUGGAUUAUGAUUUGUAUUGUGUGAAUUUGUUGGGAUCUGAUUGAAACCUGGUAUCGUAUUACCCUUUGCCGAUUUUAGUUUUUGAUGUUGCAGUGCCUGUUUGGGCUAAACCCUAGACACAAAUGGGUUUUAGAUUGGGUGAGAAUUAAUUAACAGAGAAGAAAGAUGGUUUGAUACCCGCAAAUAGAGCCCACUUUGAUUUUUGCAUUGAGAAAUUUUUGGCAGCUUAGCUGUUAGAUGCAAGUGGAAGUUUAUGAAGAGUCCGACUUCUGUGUUGUCUUUUUCUCUGUGUGCAGAACUUGGAUUCCAUAUGUUGUGAGGUAUCUAUACAAAACUUGUAAUGUUGGUAUAGUAUAUGAAGACGACUUUUUGUUACUUGUUAAAAAAAGAGAGCGGCUACUUUUCAUUUAUAGGGGUAUACGGCUAUGUUGUUUGAGUAACUUCUAAAAGGGAUGAAGGAUUAUAAUCCCAUGAACAAUAAUGGGAUUAUACAAUAACCGGGGGAAGUUGUUUCGGAUAUUACCUCCUUUUGGUUAUUAUGCCUUUUUUUUCUUCUUUCUAUUAUAGGCUAGUGUGAAAAAUCAAUAUCAAACAUAGGGUAAGGGCUCACUUAAGAAUUACAAUCCAAUCUCCCAAACAAUCACUGAAAACACACAUAGCCCCAGUGUAGCAUUUGAUUAUGAGAUUGACCUAAAUUUUUACAAAGGAAAGAAUAUGAAAAUGGAUAAACAUGAUCCUAAAUGUUUAUUCCGAUUGGCGUUUUGUGCUACUUGCUUUGAACCUCUAGGAUGAAAUAUUGCUUUAGUUUUUUAUAACUCAUCUACCCUUGUAUAGUUAGUUGGUGUUAUUUACUUUCUGCUUUGUUAUUACAUGACAAGUUUGAUUCUCUGAGCUAUUUUAAUUGGUUUCUACUGAACAGAAGAUUUUUUAUUUUUUUUUGGUAUCAAAUCCAUAUUUGAUGUUAAUUACCUGGGAGCAGUAGCAGUACUUGUACGUUAAGUUUUUUGUCUCGUGUACUCUAUUUUUUCCCCUUCCUGUUAUCAGAAAAGAUUCAUAUGGUGUGAUUUAGUUCUCUAGUAUAGUGCUCUCUCUCUCUGUCUAUAUAUAUAUAUCUAUCUAUCUGCUUCUCCUUAUUUGACUUAGGACUUGAGGGAAUUAUUCAUGUGACGACUACUUUUUAUUAUUUUCAGUUGGCUUUCUGCUAGGAAGGUGGAUGUUUGCUUCGCAGCUGUUAAGAAUUCUCCAAACAAGACAUGCAAAUCAUGAAGCCUGGUAAUAUUCCUGGUUGCUAUCCUUUCUUUCAUAUUGAAAUCAUGCUGCUUUUAAAUUCUAUAGUUGCUCACCUGUAAUUAAGUGCGUUGAAAUCAUAUUUUUAUCUUUUAUAUGUUAGUGUAGUUAUGUAAUCCCUUAUAACUGUUAUCAAGAAGUUGGUUUCCUACAGCUGAGCUUAAAUUCUUGCAACAUUCAUCAAAUUUUCAUACUUCGGAAAAACUGAACUAGAGAACCGAAACUCUUUCACAUGGUCAACUUUCGCGAAGAUCUUUAUUGCUCAUAUUUCUCUUGUUUGUAAGCAUGUUGCGCUCUUGUUUUCAAACUUUCAUAAGAGUUAAAAAAGUUAAUUAUAUGUGCAGAUAAAGAACCUGAGUUUUGUCAUUCAACUUUGGUCUGUAAGAAUGAUUCUAAACCAUUUGAAUACAACAAUAGUUCUUAUGGUGCAGCUGAACUAGAGUCAACAAUGAAGGAAAAUCAGAAUGGAAUCUUGAGUCGCCAUGGGACGAAAGUAGAUCCAUUUUCAACUGAGGUGAAAGAUAAAGAUGGAUACUGGAUUAAUCAAGAACUUGAAUAUUCUGUUGCCGUGGAUGAUUUCACCAAUGGUAAUGAAAAAGGACACAAAGAUUCUGCUGCAGCAAGUAAGGUACAUACAGAAUUGUCUCAGACGGUCUCAGAUUUAUAUACUGCUAAUAAUUUUAUGGAAUGUGACCUGCCGGAGUUAAUUGUCUGCUACAAAGAUAGUACUUGUCAUGCUGUCAAGGAUAUAUGUGUGGAUGAGGGGGUACCUACUGAGAACAAGUUCUUGACUGAAAGUAUAGUGGAUGGUCAUUGCUCCCCGACUUCUAAUGGAUAUAAGCAUACUGAUAAGACCAAAGAAAUUGUUAAUAUGGAUUUCCUCUUUCAAGAUGGCUUCAGAGCUUCAUCGUGUAAAAAUUGUAAUAAGGAUGCUGCUAAUGAUUGUGCGAGUAAAGGAGAGGUUAAUAUUGACUUGCUUAUUCCAUAUGGGCAAAAUUCUUCAUCCGAAGAUGAUGUUCAUCAUGAUGGUGCUUAUGAUUGUCGUGCUGUUUGGCUAAAAUCUUCAUCAGAAUCUGAAAAAGACCAAGAUUCUGCUAGCUUUUGUGGUUCUGGGAAUCUGAUUCAAUCAGGUGAAGAAAAGUGCAAUGCAGCCGAGAAGACAACAGAAAGUGUUUCAAAUAGCAUGCUCUUGGUGAAAGAAUUUUGUGAGGAAACCUCCCUCAAAUUUCUGCUCGAGUCUUCCAAGUGUGUUGAUAAUGACGUUCAACAAUCUAAUCAGGUUGGUAGUCUGUGUUUGUCAUAUGUAUCCCAUUACGAUGAGAGUAAUGUUUCUUUAUCAGUUUUCUUUCUUAAGGACGUUUCUGAUGCAGUUUACUUUCAGUAUAAGUUCGUUAAUUGUUAUUCUCUGAAUGGAGGUGCCUUCUCAAAGCACAACCGUUGCAAAAUAUAACCCCCAUCAAGAUAUGGAACCCUUCAAAAAACAAAAAAGAAGUAAAAAUUGAAAGCAAUAUCAGUUGUUCAAAGUAAAAUGAUUAAUAUAAUAGGCUGGAUUCUCCCUAGUAUGAGAAGGAUAAUGAGAUCCAAGAGGUGCCCUUUUGUCUAUUAUUUAGGGAAAGUGCCAGACGGUUGGGUAGAUAAGGCUAAAGAUACACCUUGAGUUGGCACAGAAGUAUCAGGUAAAAGAUGGGGUGGGGUUAUCUCAUUUGCACACCUUGAAAAUUGAUUUUAUUAGCUUGAAUUACAGAUAUCACGUGCGCAAGCGAUUUCACAAGGCCCUGGGGUAUCAAAAACCGAAGAAUCAACCAAAAGCAGCAAUGUGGAUAAUCUGAUUUACAACAGUGAAGUGGAGAGUGGAAUCAUCACUUUAAAUUUUGAUUCUUUCAAACUUGCAGAGAGCACCAGAGACGAGAACCCUGAAAAUGUUAUUGAACAACAACUUAAGUCAGAGAAUAAGCCUAUUCAUGAUGAUGGGAUUUUUAAUAAUCAUCUUGUCGUCACUAGCCAAGUUAAACGCGGCGAUGGAGGAGAGACUAGUUUCUCUGUUGGAGGUCCUCUAUCAGAUGUAGUUACUUACUCGGGGCCUAUACCGUUCUCUGGAAGCAUUUCUCUUCGAUCUGAUAGCAGCACAACCAGCACUCGAUCCUUUGCCUUCCCCGUGUAAGUUUUUAGCAUACCUGUGUCUUCUGGUUAUGAAUUACUUUGUUGCUUUAUAUUAGACUCCUUAAUCUAACUAAAUGAUUAUGGCUUCUUUUUUUGUCUUUCCAGAUUACCAAAUGAAUGGAAUAGCAGCCCGAUAAGAAUGGCGAAAGCUGAUAGGAGGCAUUUCCGAAAGCAUAGAGGAUGGAGAUUGGGCCUUCUUUGCUGUAGAUUCUAAAUGCUUCUAUUUUAUUUAUAGGGUUUUUAGUUCAUCUAUUCACAUGAUCAGUAUCUUAGUUAUUGAGUAUCGUAAAUAUAUAUAUUUCUCAAUGUUCUCAUAGGCUUGGGGUGCCAUUCGCAGUAGUUUCCCAGGGUCGUGUAUUAAGUUGUGAUCCGGUCUCUGAAAUUUUUUGUAUUUAUUGUUGCAUCUUCAUCUACUCCACAAUGAUUUUCAGAAAUCACAUUUUGUUUAUCACAAUGAUUCAUUCACCAAUUCUUACAGAAUAAAUGAUCCGCUGAUACAAUUGCAUAAGUAUACCAAUUUAGGCUGUGUUUGUUUGUCUUAAUGGCUCUGAAUAGUUGUGCCUCUGAUUCGGUCAGAUGCACGACUUGUUUGGUAAACAUUUUUAUGCCUCGGAAUAACUCUUAAUAGCUAAACCAAUCAAAGCCCAUCUGAGCGAAAAUUUCACUCUGUCGCUCGUGUCUGCCGCUCCUUCUCAAAUCUUCACUCUUCUUUCGUUGGUAAUCUUCCCUCCCUUCUUCAUCUAUUAUUCGUUAUUGCUUGAUUUGUUCUUAUUAAUCUUCUUCAUAUAUUGUUCAUUAUUGCUCUAUUAGUGAUUACUAUAAAUUUUCUGUGAUUUCAAACCCUUUUUUUCAAAUCUCCUUCACUACUUUGAGUAUUUUUUGUUGGCAUCAUAUACAUGUAUGAUUACUGUAAAUCUUCCAUGUUCCAUUUUUCUGGCACACGAAAUCUUCGUUUCCCUAUCUCUGUUUGUAUCUUACUGUACACGAACUGAAUUUCAAAUAUAAAAUGAGAAUUUUUGGACUGUUUUAGUUUGUAAAAAUUUUCAUUUAUUUCGGGUGGACCUUAUUUUGGAACCCCACCCUUCUGGUCAUUUUCAGAAUAGAAGUUUGUGAUCAGCUCCACCCUUCGGGUCUUAUCUUGAGGUGGAGAAUGCAAGUGAAAAAAUCAUCAUUUUAGUGUGUAAAUUGGGAUUUUUUAUGAUGUACUAAUGUGUAUAUAUGGAUGGAUAUGAUGUACUUUCAUUGGGAUACACUAUUGUAACUUGUUUGUAUGACGGGUAGAGUUAUUCCUUUUGGGGUUGCUUAGUUAUGUUUUUUGGAUUGUCUACUUUGAUAAUUUGAUUUGAUCUAAUCGGUGAAGUUUUAGGCUUUAGCUAGUGGAUCAUUUUGUUUUUGUUUUUGUUUUUGUUUUUUGUGAAGAGGGUGAGAAACAAUUUACAAAGGUUAGCUCAUUUGGUAAGUUCAGUAUUGAACAAACUGCAAACAUGUUAAAUGGGGAGUCAUUAGGCUCCAUUUGGUUGAUGAUUUAUUGAUGGAAAACAAAGAAAAAUGCAACAUAAUUUAUGUUUCUAUGCUAAGCUAAUAUGGGAAAAUGUGAUAAACAAAGAAAAUAAGAGAGAAAUUUUUUAAUUUUACAUGUAAUUUUUAUUUUACUUUACUAAUCACUAGUUUAUAAUGUUAGAAACUUCCUUAGUUAUGAAGAAUAUUUAACUGUUGGCCUAAGAUUCUUAGUUGUUGCCAACAAAUUAAUUACCCAGUAACUAUGCAUCAAUCUGUUUCAUUUGUAUCGCAACUACUCAGUUAGAUUACUUUGAAAAACAUUUUUCCCUGAGAGAUCAAGUGAAUGUCCAUGUUAUUGUUAUGUUUUGUUAAUUCUUUAUAAAAUCACUGAAUUUAUUUUUUAUUGUUCAAACUAUUUAAAUUUUUAUUCUUUUUUGUUUACACAUUUUAUAAUAUAUGUAUCUUAGGUAUGGAACAAGGCGGUGAAACUCAAAAACAAAAAAAAGAUUAGAGUGAGUUAGAGAAAUGAAACAAUAGUGAAAACUUUUUUAGAAUCAUGUAUUCGUGAGGUUGUGGAAAAUGGUAGGGAAGGUGCAAGCCUCAAGCCACAAUUAUGAAAAAGGGUGGGAGAAUUAUUAAAAGAUUCCUACAACUUGAUUGUGGAUCAAAAGUAAGACAGGAAAUGUGCAUGACUCGUCAACUAAUAGGUUCAAUCUUUCGGUUGAGGAAUGGAUACAAGAGAUAAAGGUGUUGUUUUAAUUUUUUUUUACAUUUUAAGUUAAUUAGUAAUAGUCCUUAAAAAUAUGUUAUAACAUGUUGAACUUGCUGUUUGAGUACAUGCAAAUAAAAUGGCCUCUAAUCUUUCCAGAUCUUUGUAUUGCAUUAUUUGAUGGAACUGCGACAACGGGACUUGAUAGUUGGGGUCCUAUUGUGGAAGAGCUAGGACUAAAGAUAAAUCUUUGGACUUGGAGGUUGUUAGUCUUAAGGACAUUCCUUUCAGCACCCAAGGUCAAGGGUCUUCUAUUCCAUCUCCUAAAUCAUCAACUUUCGGUACGCAAUCUCAUGCUUUCGGUCCUAGCUUUGAGGGAGAAAGGCCAAAGAAAAAAGCUAGGCGUUCAUCAAAACAAACCUACAACACUAACCUAGAUGGAGAGAUGUCCAAGGCCUUGAAACUCAUUGUUGAAAAGAAUAGUGGACCUUUCGUAAAAGAAUACAAAGAUAAGUUGGAAGAACUUGGGUGGGGACCGGAAAAUCCACUACACAAGAUGACUCUUUGAAGCAUGGAUGAUUCUAAAAGAGAAUGAGGUUGAAAAUUGGGUUACGAUGGUUUCACGCAAGGUAGGAUACAUUGCUUAGUUUGUUGGAUAUUAGUUAAUUACAAACUUUUUAUUAUGUUGGUGGAUAUAUUUGGGGGCUAGGUAAUUUGAUAUUUUUGGGGACAAACUUCUUAUCUUUGGGGCUAGUUAAUUUGAUAUUUUUGGGAUACAAACUUGUCUAAGUUGGGGCUUAUUUGCUAGUUAUGGAUGUGACAUUUAAUGAAAAAUGUCAAGGGAUUGAAGAAAAAGGAAGGUCUAAAGGGAAAAAGAAGAAUGAAAUCACAAUAUGAGAUACGUACAAGAAUAGUUAGAAAAACCUCUAAUUCUAAUAUGAUAAUUUAAACUUUUAUAUAUAUGCGUGUACUUUACUUGAUUGCUUUUGUUAUGGAUGAUAGUUUCAACUUUUUUAUUUCUCAAACUUGCAGGAGGAUUGCUCGAGUCCACAUACAACACACAAUGUUCGUUUGCAAGAACCAAUUUUUAAUCUUAAUCUGGCGCCAAUUCAAGAAGUGGCAUGGAGCUAGAUCAUCUGUAUUUCACUAUUUUUGUUCGAUAGUAGCUUUAACUUUUUUUUUGCAGACAAUGUGUUAUUUGAGUUCUAUUGUUCUGCUGUGAAAAUGCCCGUUCUUGACUUGAAAGAUCUACUUGAAGGGAUAACAUGUUCUGUAGGUGGUGAAUCUUGUGUUUCUGGAUGUGUCAUGUGUGAAGACAGCAUGUAUAUGACUAGCUAUUUUUUCAUAUGAAGGCUUUUAUUUUUGUGUGCUUAUGAAGGCAUUGUUUAUUGUGUGUUUUGAUGUGCUAUUGCAUUUUGGUCUAUUGAUGUGCUAUUACAGGGCAUGUGUUUGUUUGUCUCCAAAGAUGGUUGGAUGAGAUAUGAUUUUGUAUAAAUUUAGGCUCAUAUAUAUUUAUUUUAUUCAAUCGAUACUUGUUUCUGUUCAAGUAAUUUUAUUUUUGGUAAUAUCAGUGUCUUAAUUUAACACUGUUAGAAAUUAUUUAUUGAUUGAAGCAAAAGAGGAGAUUAUUACUACUAUUCAACCUCUCUCAAUUAAACAUGGUCCAAGUUGAUGUGUUUGUGAUGGUAAGUAGUAGUAGUAGUACUAGCACUUUCUUGCUUUGGAUGAAUUGAAAUGGAAUGAUGAAAAGAGUCUCCAAGGCAUGAAUGAAUCCCUCCGAAGCUAGAAGAAUAAUAAUAGUUUGCAGAGUAUGAAAAACAACCUUUUAAUUAGGUAUGUUAUUCCUAAAUAACUUAUUUUUGAUAAUAAUGUUCAAAUAUUCCUUCCACCCAAAUCUCACUCCCAACCUUUUACACCCCCAACUACACAAUCUCCUCCUCUUUUGCUUUCAAUUCCUUGACCUUGGUUUGAAGACGUUGUCCCUCUAGUAUUUCAGCUCUGCUAUUCUCUCCUUGAUGUCAUCCAUUUCAGCUAUCUGAAGAAAUACAAUAGGAAAAUGUACCACAUUUAAAAUCCAAGUAGAAUACUUGAAAAAUGCCCAGAUAUCCAAAUCUGAGUCAGAAACAAACAAGAUCUAUUCAGUGUUGAAACCAUCCUCACCUUUUGGGUACCACCGGAUGCAUAAAGCUUUAACACUGCUCACAUCAACGAGUACAUGAGGGACAAGACUAGCCAAAUCUGGCAUAUACUUCUGCACAAGCACUUUUUUUUCAAGUAAAGGUUGUACAACUAAUUUAGGCAAAAAGAAAGAAUAAUGUUCAUUGCUCACAAAACUUCCUUCUCAAAAAUCGAAAUCAAAAAUACACAAUGGGUAAAUACGGAUAGAGUCUUAAAGUUUUUUUCCCCCUCAACAGAUGUUCAUAACAGAAGCUGAAUGCUCUUCAACAAGAACAAUGAUUGCUAAAUGCACAUAUUAUAUCAUAGAAUAAUAAUAUCUACCUAUUAUAUUCUAAAGAUUCCUAAUAUUAUUUGAUUUAAUAUGUAUGUAUAUAUAAUAUACAUAAACCUUUACAUAACUUCAGGAAUAAAAGAUCCACAUAGACUGAAUUUCCUGCAAGAAGAGGCGUAUGUGCGCCCACAUUUCUCUUAACAAAUUGCACAACCUACAAGAGUGCUAAAUAUGUUAAGGGAUAUGAUUAUAAGAGACCCAACUUCAAAGGACAAUUAAACUAUUAAAAUAUACAACAUUGAAAUACUAGAGACUAGAGUACAAUUCAAGUUUUCAACCACAUGGCUAAAAUGAAGUAUCAAAUAAGUAAUAAAUCACAGUCACGCUCUAACAUAGAAAAUGCAUCAUCCCCGUGUUCCCAGACAAAGAAUAAACCUAUGCCACAAGUAAUUUAAUUUAAUUUUUCUAGAUACUUCAUGUUAUGCCCCUCAAGAGAAUAAGCAACAGGUUAUAUCCUUUCUUAGUUAGAGAAGAAAUAAAUCUAUGUAUAUAGAUUCUGAACUUUACACCACUGUCACCCCAUAACAGACGUAUAAUAUAAGUGGAAAUUAAAUUUUGAAGAAAAACAAUGCGUUACCUGUUUUUCAGCUUCAUUUUCACUGAGUGUGCUUUGAAGCAUUCUCUUUGUCAAACCUAAAUUAAAUUUAAAAAAGUUAAUGACUAAAAAAAUAUGAACAAAACAUGCAGUCAUUUGAUAAUAAUAAUAAAUACAUUGAUAGGAAAAAUAUAUAUCAAAUAGGGAUUGAUAGUUCCAAAAGACUAUCGUCACAUGAGUAGUAAAUGGAAUCACAUUCAUGAGUAGGGACUAGUGGAGAUAUCAAAUUUUCUUUGUGGAAAUAACAGUUCCCAUCAAAUAAUCACUCUAUCAGUCCCUCCCAUUUUGUAUGUCAUCAUCAAUGUAAAAGGCACAAAUUUGAAGAUAAGUUGCCUGAACUUUAGAUAUUAUACUUUUAAUAUAAAUUUCUUUCCCAAAACUACACUGUUGAUACUAUAUAACUUUUGGGGGGAAACUAUAUUAAAAGACAUAACCUCUGAAUAACCUUCUGAUUAAUGGACAUACUAUAUUAAUUGUUGCUGCUGCUGAUCAACUUACAACACAACACCCACCCAUCCUUCAUGUCAUCCAUAACCUUAAUUGCAUCAAUUAACCUCCCUUGCUUACAAAACCCAUCCAUCAAAAUUGUAUAUUUCGUUGCAUCUGGAAUCCACCCUCUGUCAAGAAUUUCAUCAAAUAUCUUCUUUGCACCAAUCAUAUCACCCCUAGACACAUAACCCAACAAUAUGGUAGUAUAACUCACCACAUGGCACCAUACCCAUUGUUGGCAUUUCGUCUAACACUUUAAGGCACCUUCAAUAUCAUUGUUUUUACAAAGACCUUUGAGUAAAAUGUUGUAAGUAAAAACAUUAGGUAUUAUGUUGGAACUUCUUUUUACAAUGUUCAAACAAUAUAUGCACCAAAUUAUACUGUUUGUUCUGAAUCAAAGCGUUUAACAAAGUAUUAAAUGACCUUACUGAGGUUUCAACGCCGAAUUCUUUGACCCGUAAGAAGGUUUGGAGGGCUUGUUUGGGGCGACUGGCGAUUCCGUAGUUUCGAAUUACGACUAUAAAUAGAUUUUCGCCGCGUUUACUGUCCGAUUGCUGUAAUUGGGCGAGAAGAGUUUCCAUCGGCUCGAAUGCGGGAACUCGAGUGAGCUUGUUGAUGAUGGCGUGGUAGGUGUCAUAAUUAUGCUGUAAAUUGGGGUAGAAUUUUCCGACGUGGUCAAAGAUUUGGAGGGAAAGAUCAAGGUUUUGUUGGCUGGUGAUGAUGGAGACGAGGCGUUUGGGGGAGUGAUUGUGUAGGAUUUAAGGAGUUGGUCUUUGAAUUUUAUGGCGGAGAGGUGGUGGUGUGAGGGGUGGGCGAUGAAAGGGUCCGUGGUGGAGGCGGUGGUGGUGAGGUGGAGGUGGAGGUGGUGGUGGAAAUGAAAUGGCCGGUGAAUUGACAUGUUGAGGAAAGUGGCGGACUUGAGUGAGAAAAAGAUGAGACAGUGAGAAUUUAAUUAUGACCAUCAGAUCUGUUUUAAAAGAUCUAACAGCCCAAAAUUUAUCGUAUGGUACAAUAUGUACAUGUUCUCCCCCUCAAUCCCCGUUGAUCUCUUUGGACUAGCAAAUCAUACUACUCGAGAAUAUCCCGUAUAAAUUAUUGCCCACUCCUAUACGCACCAUCCUUUUCAGCAACAGUGUUUUAUUGGUCACCUCCCUAUCAUCACAGUAUCUUUCUUCUCUCUUAUUAAAUUGAAAUCAACGGUUAUAUUUCGUUUGUGGCAGGACCAAUUUCAACGCUUUCGUAGCUACAUCACUCCCCUUGCAUCUCAUUACUACCGGUACAUUCUAGUAUCAAGGUAUCAGGCUAUCAGCUUCUUCUUCAUUAGAGAGAAGCAAGCAAAGAAUCAAACUCAGAAGUAAUGGAGAAUUUAUGGCAAAAGGCAAAGAUAUUUGCAGAAGAAGCAGCCAAGAGAUCUCAAGCCCUAACCCUAACCACUUCUCCGGCGAAGAUCGCCGACAUUGUCUCUGAAACCGCUAAGCGAUCUAAAGACUUUGCACUCGAGGCCUCUAAGAAAGCCGAUGAGCUUAAAACUGUUGCCGAUCAACACAUCAAGUCUCUCGCCGAUCAAAUUCCCUCACUUUCACUCACUACUAAUUCUACUUCUUCUUCCGAUUCAGUGUCCGACUCCGACCUCCAAAGCUUCGGUAUCACGGAGGAUCUCAAACAGUUCGUUAAGGGACUUACCACACUCACAUUCCAGAGUUUUCCUAUUCAAGGUUUUCUUUAAGUCUAUCUAGAUUUUGGCUUCAUUCGUUUAAAUUGCCUUGGUUGAGAUGAUUUUAAUUGCUUUCUUAAUCUCUUGUUUGUUUCAGUGGAUUUUCUUUUCCUUGAAUCUUUAAAUUGCCUUGGUUGAGAUGCUUUUAAUUGUUUUGUUAAUUUCUUGUUUGUUUCAUUGGAUUUUCGUUUCCUCGGAUUCCCUAGAUCUUAGUUUAAGUUUAGACAUAUUUCAGCCAAGAUUACUUGAAACUCCAACAAAUUUGAUUUAGCUUUGGCAAUGUUUAAAUAAGCUAAGGUUUCUGGUUGAAAUAUGAGAUUCCUGUUAUGCCUUGAUUUAAAUGGUAGUAUCUGCUAAGUAUGUUCUAUUAAUAGUUAUCUUUGGUGAAGUUAACUGAGUUAUAAGUUCUGGACAAGGUAAUUUAAGGGACUUGGUAUUACAGCCCUGGGAAAUGGGGAAAUUUUUCUUUCUCUUUGUUGAUUUAAAUUCUUAUCAUCUCUCUUCAGUUAGAUAAUAAUUCUUGUUUCCUGGACGUGUAGAUGAUAUACAAGGAUCUGAUGUGGCUACAUUCUCUAAUGUCCGACAAGAUCUCUCUGAGUGGCAGCAGAAACAUGCCACCCUUGUUCUCACUACUGUUAAGGUAAUUUUUUCUUGUCUUUGUUUCAACUUGAACUCCUCAAGGGCCUUGCUUAGCAGUUGGAAGAAAUGAAAGUAGGAUAUCUUACUAGUUGUUAGAUCACACACAAUCUUCUCUAUGCUUGUGUGCUUUAUGGGACCUAAGAAGUACAUUAGAUGUUUUGAGCAAAAAGGCACACAUUUGAAAAAAUGACCGUCUCAUAAUAUUCAACAGCAUUUUUUUGUCCAGUGCAACAGAAUAGAAAUAAUGAAUUUUUCAAAUGAUAGAGGCAUACUGCAUGACGGGGCAAAUUGUGCAUCUCAAUUAAGAGAGUUCAUAUAUUCUGUUACUGGGAUUAUCUACUUACAGCUUAUGACACCAAAGCUGAAUAUUUCCUUUUUAUCUCCUUUGACGAUUUUAGUUUUCCCUUGUUGGGAGGCUGUAGAAUCAAAAUUUCCUAUGCCUUUUAUCCAUUUUAGUGAGUCUUAUAAAUUAUAAAAGUAGAUUUGUAAAUCCAAUUAAAUGUGAUUUACUAGUCAAAUGGUCCUAUGCAAACUCCAUACAUCAAGUUUUUAAUUUUUACCCUAAAAUUAAUUAAUUGAAGUUGAGAAAAAUACACGCUUUUUUCUUUAAAACUCUGGGCGUGAUUCUAAUUUGCACGUCACAAAAAUGUUCAUGUAUUUUGGAGUUCUAAAUUAGAAAGCAUAAACUAGUCGUCACAUGAAACUAUACUGUCUACAAUGUUUCUCAUGGCUGUGAUGUUUCAGGAAAUAUCGAGGUUAAGAUAUGAAUUGUGCCCACGACAUAUGAAAGAUCGGAGAUUCUGGCAGAUAUAUUUUACACUUGUGAACAGUCAUGUGGCUCCGUAAGUAACGCUCAGUUUUUAAUUUUCACUUUUUCUCUUAGUUAUGGUAAAUGCUAGGGAGAGCGAUAAAUGGCAAUACUGACUGCUUUUAAUUUCUGGACCGCAUUCACUUGUCCAAUUUUUAGACAUAUGAAAACUUGGUAACUAAUCAUUAAAUUAUGGUUAAAGAAAGAUACUUGAGUAGUAACUAAGGAUUGUUUUGAAGAAUUUUUAUUCUUUAGAAAAAAGUUUUCACUAAAAUCAGCAUCAGCGUGUUAGUCAUCUACACUGAGCGUAAUCCGGUAAGUGUUUCGCUGGACUAGUGAGAAUUUUGUAGUCCAUACGGAACAGCUCUAUGCACAAAAUCAAGAAAAGAGUAGACUAGUUUAAAACAUGAAUGAUCUGAAACCUAUAAGUGAGAGUGAGAUCAAUCUGCAAGGCUUGGCAUUCCUUUGAGACCACAAAAAGAAGCUUCCUGUUCAAAGAAGCUAUCUCUAUGAACCCUGAUAUUAUUAAUCCCAUGAAGGCAUGUACAUCUUAUCAUAAAAAACAUUAAGAAGUCAAGAUAUAAUAGUAGGCAUUUUGUUGAAAAUAUCCAUGAUCUGUUCUAAAUUCAUUUCUUUAUUGGACACAUCCAGGUCCGAGAAGAACUACGGGGAGAAGAAUAAGCUAAAAGAAGCAGAGAACAUUAAAGAUGGCAAACUUGAGCAAACUCCAACAGUUGGAUCAGAAGGAAAGGGAACAAGCCUGAAAAGUAAGACUUCAAGUUUAUCUGCGGAGCAGGAUUUAGACACAUUUCUUUUGGGGGAUCUUGAUGACAGUGAUGUGGAGCCAGCAGGUACAUUAGAUAGGCAACUUCGUGAAAUUACACUGGAAUCCUUCAGCUCAUAUCCUGAUGACAGUGAUGUCAUUAGUAUGUUUUAACUUAUAUAGCUGUUUGUAUAAUGAAAUUACACUGGAAUCCUUCAGCUCAUAUCCUUGUGUGACUGUGUUCAUAGUUUUUGGAUAAAAGAUGCAUUUAAAUGUACACACUCAUGGCUGCCGCACUCAACUUAAAAAACGAGUCAUAUGGUAUUGUCACUUGAGAAGGGAUUUAUUUUAGAAUUCCAUGGAAACAUAUGUUAUGUUCAUAGAGAUUUCUACUUGGUUCUCAAUUAUCAAGAUGGCAUGAUUUGAAGAAAAUAUUAUACCUAAUUGGGUUUUAUCAGAUUUGUUUAAAAAUGUUGUGUACUGCUCAUUAACUUUCCAAUGCUACUGCUGACAACUGAAGUUCUAAUGAAUGUAGUCUUUGUUAUCAUCAGGGUUUGUAUACUAAUUUUGUGCGACUAUUUGUGUGCAUUAUGCCCAAAUAUUUGGAUUAUAUGGGUAAUUUUCCAAGCCACUCCACCAAGCAUUGCUUGACAAUAUGCUAAAUUACUAGUUCUUUCUUUCUUUCUUUUGCUGAUUGUUAAAAUACAUUUUCUUAUGCACUUAGUUUUAUGAGUUCGAACUAAUUGAUACAAAUUGCAGAAAACCAGUAGGUAAUUGCUAGAUUUGUUUUUGUUGUCUUUUUUAUUGUUGGCAGUUUUUAUAUUGGAAUGCUCUUGGCCUUAAGUUGCUCAUUAACAAGUGUUUUUAUUUUUACCAGAUGAUGAUGAGAAUUUUGAUGAUGAUUUUGACAAGAUUGACAAUUUGGUAAGAACAAAUUAUCUUCCCAAAUAUUCCUUAAAGCUCCAUAAAGCUCCACUUUUCAUUCUGCUUUGUGCUGCUCAAUUUCUUGAUACAUUAAUUAAAAUCCUCUGGAGGGGUGACGACAAUAGCAGGAAUUCUAGUGUGUGCAACAACUAAGCACGGUUAUGUGGUAUUUUGGAGAACUGAUGGGAUUUUAUGCUUGCAGGGCGUUGAAGAUGAAACAUAGCCGAAUAAGAUGAUGACAGAGGCAGGUUAGAGGGCUAUGCAGUGUUUGAGCAAUUGAAGUCGUACGCGUAUCUGUUAGGUGGAGAGGACAAGUGAAGAAGAGUACUAGUAUAUUUUCUGUGAUACAUACAUACGGUGAUGUAUAGGAGGAGUUGGAAGGUUUACUUUGGCAAUAUAAAGGCCCAUCGUUUAUGGUAGAUCGGGAAAAAAAAUAGGUUUGGGUCGCAUAAAAUAGGUUUGGGUUGGUUUUGGAACCAAAAUCAUAUUACCUAUAUUUAAUAUCAGUUUAUGUGGUUUAGAUUUAAAUGGUUAUGGGUCGAAUCCAUGUUGACCUAUUUUUUUAAAUUAUAGUUUCAUUGAAAUCUUAAUUUCUGUUAUACUAAAAGAGUUUUAAUUUUGGUGGGCGGUGGGCGGUGGGCGGUGGGAGAAAUUAAAUUAUAUAGUAUAAUAUAAAAUAAUUUAUGGAGAGAGAGGAUAUUAAAUAUAAUUGUAUAAUUUAAAUGAGUUAUUUUAAUUAAUUAAGAGAGGAGAUAUUAAUUAUUUAAAUUAGUAGUUCGUUAUACUAAAAGUGUUAACUUAUUAUGGAUUAAUUUCAUAAUUAGUAAAAUGAUUUUUAUACAUAAUUACAAAUAUAUAAAUUACAAAAAUAUGUAAUAUGUAUAUAAUGUAAUAUGUAUAAUGUAUAUGUGUUAUAUAAGAAUGUAGUGUAAUAAUGCAUACAUAUUGAUAUAUUAACUCUACAAAGUGCAAAAAAUUAUUAUAGAUGGGUCAAAAUUAGAUCCAAUCUAUAUUUGUAAUAAUAAUAUGAGUCAAUUACUUAAAAAUUAGUUAACCAAUCUAAUAAAUUUAAGUAGUUUUGAUUAAUUAUUUAAUUUUCAACUUAAAUCGUUAGCUCUAAUUUAUGGUAUGGUUAGGUUAUGUUUCAUUUUAUCUUUGCUUGUACUAUUAAAAACUAUGGUUUGUACAGUUGCUGUAAUUUUAAAGCCAAAUUACGGGGUAGAACAAAAAAAAUUAUUUGAUGAACAUUAAAGCUUUACCAAUUUUUUGUAUGAUCAUAAAAUAAGAAUAUCUAUGCCUUAGUUGCAGCUACAAAUUACUGAUAAUCUUUUUUUUGGGUACAAAUUUAUUGAUACUUUUAUGCAUGUGUCAAUAAACUCAGUUACCAACUUGCGCUCAUUGAUGUUCGGGAUCUACGACUCAUUCGGAAUCAUCAUUUGAACCACUGCGCCAACUACUAGAGUAUCUAACAAUUAAUACUUUAAGAGGAAUUCGUCAUAUUAAAAAUAAAAAAGAUGAAUUAUGUAUAAAAAAUAUGACAAUCUCUCUUAAUAAUAAAAAUACUAUUCACUAUGCCUCUAAUUUUUUAAGUAAUAAUUAGUAGCGUUUAGGAUAUGACUUUAAUAAAUAAAGUUAAAUAUUUACCCUCAUAUUUUAUAUUUUUAUCUCGGUAAUGAUAUCAUAUAUUUGCUAUGACAUAUAUAUCAUUUCUACCAUUUAAUAUUACGUCUGUUACUAAUAAUAGCAGACGUAAAUUUUUUUCGUUUUAAUUUUGGCCGUUGAUUUUUGUAUUGGACAUUCAUUGAAAAUACUCCCUCCCCUUCCUAAAAGAUUGUCGUUUAAGUUUUUGGCACAUGGAUUAAUGAAAUGUCAUUUACCAAGUAAAUUGUUUGAAAUUCCAUUACUACCCCUUUAUGGGAAAAUUGAAAACUAUUAAUACAAAUGAGAGAAUUUUUUGGGACAAUGAGAGAAUGUAGGAGUAGUAUAAGAAAUUAAAUAAUUUAUUCACCUCGAAAGUUGUAAACGACAAACUUUUUGGAAUAAUUUUUUUUUCUCUAAAACGACAAUCUUUUAGUAACGCAGGAGUACUCGCUAUGGAUCAUUUCUUUUAUCUUUAAAAUAAAAAAGAAAAAGAAAAAGAAAAGAAAAAGACUAAAAUGCCCAUAGUAAGCCUGCUAAUUAGAUAAACGCCAUUACCACUCAACUAGAAUUAAGAACCUGAUAUAUAUUACCACAAAUAUUUGACAAACUUAAAUUCUGAAUAAAAUAAAUUAAAAUGCAACAAUAAUUGAUUUUUACUCGAAAUCAUAGUUGGCCAAAAACUUUGAUAAUGUCCAGCAAGACUCCUAUAAUUACAUACCCAGAAACGGAGCCAUCGCGCUCCACAGUCCACCCAACUCUCCAUGAUUUCUGCGGCGGCCGUCGUCUUAAUUGGCGGAAGGUCAAUCAGACUGACCCAACUGUCCUCCAUUAAACUUUUAAUUCCCAACAUAUCCUCUCCUCUCUUCUUCUCUUCCCUCUGCAAAGGCCGACCACUCUCUCAAACAGUUCCACCACCAGUCCCCAAAAAAGUGCCCUUUACCGUUUCAGCUCAUGGAAUCAAGUGGCAAGACCCAUACCAUUGGAUGCGAAAAACGGACGAGCCUGAUUUCAUCAACUACCUCCACCAAGAAAACUCUUAUGCAGAAGCUUUCAUGGCCGACACAAACAACCUCCAACAGACUCUCUUUUCUGAGAUGACCAGCCGAAUACCCUCCAAGAUUUCCACUCCCCCUGAACGCUUCGGUCCCUGGUCUGUUCUUUUAUUUAUAUACAAAAAUUUGUUGCUUUUAGGCUUAAGUUGAGUGGGUAGUUUAUGAAAUGUUUAGUAUUGCUUAUUGUUGGCACAUUGUGGUUGUAGAUGCAACUCAGUGCUCUGCUAUGUGUUGCAUGAAAUUUAUGAAUGAAAAUGUGCAAUUGUUAAUGCGUGAUUAUAUAUUUUUUGUGAUUAAAAUAUAUUUACCUAUGUUUGUGUUUCAUGAUUACAAUGUACUGAGAUUGUUAAUGGAGUUUGAACGGGUUGUAGUCAAUUAUAUUGGGGAAUGCAUUUAACCAUAUAUGCAGUUUAUGAUUAUUCAUGUACUGAGAUUGCUGAUUUUGAGAUUUUCUAAUAUUAAUUGAGUUUGAACAGGUUGUACUACCAAUAUAUUCCGGAGGAUAAGGAAUACCCAGUUUUAUGUAGGAAACUAACAACUGAGAGGAAAGGUUGGGUGGAGACCGUAGUCAAUUACGUGAGGGGAGGAUCAGGGAAGGAGGAAAUUUUGCUUGAUUGGAAUGAAAUUGCGAAACAAUAUGGUAGGUUUCUUCUUGUGGAUGGUGGGAGAAUAGUUAUGCUUUAUUUAAGUUAGUGUUUUCUUGUUAUAAUACACUCACACAUACAUAAAUAUAUAUCCUCCUCCCUCGGUUCCACAAAAAGAGCCCCAUUUGAUGUUGAUCCUAGGUCAUUUGGGAAAAUUGUGAUGUGAAUUUAUUGUAAUUUUUGAAAUCAUAAUUUGUAAUUUGUAAUACUUUUUAAGUAUUUAUACUAUUAACCAUUUCAUUAAUCAAAAUCAAUUAAAUUCACGUCAAUUUUGAAUUUUGGGAUUUCUCGCAAAUUGAUUAGGAUUUUUUUAUUUUAAAAUGAGACUCUUUUUGUGUAUAAGAGGGAUAAUAUCUGCUUUUCAUUUCUUUCCUUUCCCUGUGUUUUCCAAGUCUCAGACGUGCCAAAAUGUGCUUGAGGUACUUUUUCUCACUUAUCAAAAUUUCAAGGGAAAUUCGAUUGCUUGAAAGGUUAUGAAAGUCAAUACUGAUACUGCUAAUUUUGAUUGUAUACACAUGCUGAUGUACUUGAAGUAAUGUAUUCAUUCUUGCGUUGCGUAUUAUAUGAGAAGUCAACUUUCUGUAUCCACUGCAUGUGCGUUUAAUAGUUUCACCACGGAGAGUUUGCUAGUAGGGUUUGAAUGUAUUGUUAUAAUAAGUUGCGCUUUGGUUUAGGUUUUAUCCUUGUAUGAUUGCAUAGACAUAAUUUUUAUCUUUUUCAAAUAAAAAAAAUAAAAAAAGUUGUAUUCAUAUGCUUGUAUGCUUGAUUUUUUUGUUCUGGAUAUGUCCAUGUUCAGACCAAGAAAUUUCUUACUUCCACUCAGUACUUAUUACCUGUAUUUUUUUAAUAUUAAGUUUCCAUAGUUGGAUCCUUUAAUUGUCCUCAAUGGCAGGGUAUGUUCAUGUGGGUGCAUGUCGAGUAUCACCAGACCACAGUUUUCUUGCUUACACACUUGAUAUUACUGGUGGCGAACAGUUCAUGUUACAAAUUAAGGACCUCAGAAGUGGUAUUCUUCAGGACCUAAGAGUUGCCGGAGUUGUUAGCUUAGCGUGGGCUCAAGAUGGUUGUACUUUGUUCUAUACCAUAUCUGAUGAUACCCAACGGCCUUACAGGCAAACAUUUUCUUACUAGUUCAUUGCGUCUUUCACUUGGGAGUUUGUAUAAAUCUAACUAAUUAUUAGUUGGGCAGGGUACAGUACACUAAACUGGGACCAGAUCCUAUGAAUGAUAUCCCAUUAUAUACAGAAAUGGACUCCAGCUUCUGUGUGGACAUCACGAGUACGAAGGAUGAAAAGUUUAUUACUGUGAAUUCAAACUCAAGAACUUCAUCUGAGGAAGGAACUUACCUAUGCCACAUGCCAUUAUUGUAUUCCCUAUUAUUUGUAGAAGAAUAUCUUUAUGGUUGGUUUUACUUACAGCUAGGUUGUUUCGUUUCAGGUUUAUGUCAUAGAUGCAAACAAUCCACAAGAUGGCUUACAAAUGAUUCACAAGCGUGUCCCUGGUGUACAAUACUUUUUGGAACAUCACUAUGGCUUUUUCUAUGCCCUUACAAAUGUGCCUUUGAGUGAUGAUAAUGGAUUGUCUAGCGGAAAUUAUUAUUUGACUAGACGUCGAGUUCAAGAUAUAAAGUCAGCUAAUUGGGAGGUAAAUUUUAUUUACAUGGUCAGGCAUUUUUUAUAAUUUAACUUUCACUUUUGCCUUAAGCUCUAGGUUGUACAAGGUACAAACAUAGUGCUGCAAGGAACUUUGAGUAUAUUGUUAACAAAAAAAAGGUGGAACUUUGAGUAUGUUGGUCUGCUUCUGAAUAUUAUUUGUGCAACUCUCUUUCAUUAUGUUUCCAAUACCUCGUGACAAACACUGCAAGUUGUUGCUUAUUAGUUAUAACUCCCUCUGCUCCUCCUUUUCAUUUGCUUGAUGAACUAAAAAAUCAGGAGAGCAAACCUUCAACGAGGUUUGUGAGGAUCAAAUACUCCGCAUGAAGUAGCUAGUCUGUGCUUCUUUUUAUUGCAUAACAUGGAAUAAGAGAAUGUGAGAGCCACAACUCAGUUGAUACUAUUGUCCUACAUAAACUUCAAUCCAAAAAACCGUAUCCACUUAGUUGCAGUUAAGGCUUCAGAAAUGACCUGGAUCUAAAUUUUUGUAACUAUAAUUAUAUUGGUCUCCCAACUCCAAGGGGUGGGAGAAAUGACAGAGGCUUGAAGAAUAGCCUCAAAGUCGCUGAUUCCAAUCCCUAUACUUGGGAUCAAAAUUACCAAUCAAAAUAAUAAUAAUAAUAUUAAUAAAUUUGUCACCUCAGUUGGUGAAACGUUAUUAAAGGUUUCUUUCUCUCCACUAAUCUCUCUCUCUCUCCCUUGUCAGUUUUUCUCCCUCAAUUCCCCUCUCCCUUAUUAUUACAAGGCAAAAUGGAGCUGCCUAUCUUAUCCAUUUCUUAUUUUCAAUUACUUUUGUUUUCUCUUACUAGAAUAUCAUACUACCAAGUGAAGAUACCAGCAUACAGGACAUGGACAUUUUUAAUGAACAUCUGGUGCUUUUUCUUAACAGAAAGGGUUCCCCUGUAAUAUGUGCCAUCACGAUGCCUAUUGAUGGAAGUUGUAUGGUAUAAUUCUCUGAUACUGUUAGUAUUUACUUGUUUUAUAUAAUUUGAGUUUGCUUAUUUGUCUUAUUUUGUUCUACAGAAAGAAAUGGAGAUUGAUGAUCUCAAUCCGUGGUAUUUCCCUCUGCCGUCGAAUUCCUGUGGAAUUGUUCCUGGUUCAAAUCAUGACUUUAUGAGCUCCCGGUAUCGCGCCAUCCUCUCAUCUCCAGUGGUAUGAAUUCUAAUGGGAUGUACAUUCUGGUUAUUUGAUUAAUCUGAACUUAAUAGUCCGCUUUCCUCUACCCCUCACACCCCUCCCCCCUCCGGGGAAAAAAAGUUUAUCAAAAAUAUGGAUUAAAUUUAACAGCAUCCCAAGUACUUAGAAGAAAUGAUGAAGCUCAGAAUAAAUUUAUAUUUUUCUUAUACGAGUAGGUGAUGGGUGAUGAGCCUGAAUGCAAUCAGAUUAAGUCCGAAAUACAAAGAUCUUAUUAUAUUGAUUUUUUGCAAUAAUCCUGAAAUAUUGAUUCCCGACCAAGGAAAGGUAAAUUUUCCUGCAAGAUGAUGCUCAUACCAUGAGCAAUGUGGCUCCUAAUUAAGCAAGCUAGAAAAAAUACAUUAACUAAAGGAAAACCACAAACUCAUGUAACAGGAAAAAUAACACCCCAAACUUCUCUUUCUAUGAAUAUGGCAUUAUACAAAAGUAAUGUAGUUGGCAAUAAGGUAAACUUGGGAACCAAGUUUGACUAAUGAAUUAGAGUUAAAAAUCAACCUUGUUGGAUUGAGUAAGUAGGCAUUUGGUGAAUCGCUGCUGUGAGGUGAAAUACUUUUACUAGUAGCACCACGAGAAAAAAUUGAAGGACCUCUGCAUUGAGGUGACUUUUACUAGUAGUUUGAGGAAAAAGUGUUGUUAAUACAAAACUGCAAUAGUGUUUGGUAUAGAAUUUUAGAAGCAGUUUAUAGAGAUAUUUUAGCUUGUUAAGUUUAAAUUCAAACACAGUUCAAAAGGACCCAAUUAUAGCUUCUUCCUAAAGUGAUUUAGCAUCCCAACACUCUACAGCUAAAAGUACUUUUGUAAUAUUGUUAAUUACCAAAUAGGCAAAUACUCCUAACCACAAAAUUUGAUUUAAAAGUGUUUUAAGCCCACCUCACUGCUGAACGGACACCAAGUAUGUAGAUCCUACUUAAGACACAUACCUAAAAUAAGCAUGUUGUACAAGCUCGUUAACUCAACAAAGAUCUUUACCUAUUUGAAGCGUAGUAUUCCCUAAUUGCUAAUAUAUUAGUUAAGAAAUAAGUCCCUUAAACCUAUUUUUGAUAAAAAUUUAACUUAUUCCUCUUUGACAAGAGUUGAUCUUAUAUUUUGCUUGCAUCAGUUAUGCAAGGUUGAUUAUUUGAAGACAGAUUUCUGGAUUCUUUAGUGAGGGUUAUGUUUGAGUGAUUUUUUUUUUUAUUUAUUAUUAUUGAAUAAAAAAAUUCCUUUUGAAAAACGUUGAUUAUUGAAAGGUUUUGUAUAUGGAUGUUGGAUGAUGAGUGGGGUUUGUGGAUUGGGAACUUGUAUUUAGUUCCUCUUUGGUGUAAAUUGGAUGAGUUGGUUGUAAACAUAUUUGGGGUUGAAUUAAUUUCUCUCAUCUCCACUGGUCAGGGACACAUAGCCUAAGUUCUUGUUUUCUCUUUUUCAAGCAGCAAGUGGGGUUUGUCCAAAAGUUAACAUUUGCAGUUAUUCUUUUGUUUUAUUUGUUUGUUGGCUCUUCUCAAUGUUUUUCCUCUCUGUUUUAAUCAAAUGAAGAUGCUGUUUAGUUUCACAGUUUUCAACUCAUUCAUAGGUUAUCUCCUCUGGCUGUUCUCGAGUUUUUUUCGCUUCUUGGCAGUCCUAGGUGGAGCUGCUUUCCGUCAUAGUUGUCCCUGUUGGCCUAGUAGUUCCUUAGUCUUGUAACUCAGCUCUUCGAACCUUAGGACAAACAACUUUGAGAACGGCACUUCAAGUCGAUUUCUUCUAACUCAAUUCCCUUAAGUGAGGUCGGGACUCUGUUUCUUCUCUAGCUGGCAUUUUGGUCUGUUUCCAUGAGUGUUGUUGCUUUCAACCGGCCGAUAGCCCCCUGUGACAGAAUCCCAAACAGUAGCCCCGAAGUUCUAUUUUGGGAUUAAAUCGUGUUCUCCUUUAAUCCUAAACAAUGCAAUGAAUAUAAGAAAGUGACUUGGCUGAGUUAUAAUGAUUUACCUAUUAUCCUUGUCAUUGCGAUACAUUGUUGGAUGUAAUUGUCGACUCUGACUGAGUAAUCUAAUUUGAAUUCUACAUGAGAGUUGUGUCCCUCAUACAUAGUUUUGUUUUGUCAAGUGCAGAUACCUGAUUUAAUUGUCGACUAUGACAUGUUUAGACGUACUUUUUCCAUAGUGCAUCAAGACGAAGUACUUGGUAUUUCCCCUAAUUCUGGGUCACGCUCAAUGACUUGCGAAGGAGAGAGUUAUGAAUUUCCAAACCUCCAAAGUGACAAGGACAAAGAUGUCAUAUAUAAUGAAAUGCAGGGAUGGAGGAAUUUCUGUGAUGCAUAUUGUUGUGAAAUAAAGGAAGUCGUUUCCCGCGAUGGUACCAGAAUUCCUCUGACCAUCUUGUACUCUCGGAAAGCACAUCAAAAGGCUCAAUCUCCUGGAAUUCUACAAGGCUAUGGAGCAUAUGGGGAAGUGCUUGAUAAAAGCUGGUGUGCAGACCGACUAAGUUUACUUGAUCGGGGUUGGGUAGUUGCAUUUGCUGAUGUAAGGUAUAUCUCAAGUUUGUUAUAUUAUGGCCAUUAUCCACUGCAAAUUGUAAUUUGGAACUGAGUAGAACAAUACAACCAAGUCGAAUAGUUAAUGUUGGAUUUUGUUUCAAUAGUUAGAUAAUAUCCUCUUUUAUGAAUUCAGACAUGCAUACGAACUCUGGCCCUAAAAAUAGAAGGUUCAUUUAAUUUAAAGCCGAUAAUAGUCUUAACUCACUUAUAAUUAAAGAUACCUUGUAGGAUAGGGGACAAAAUAACAACAUGUGUUCUGAGAGCAUAAACAAUAUGCUGGUGUAUUUUAUACUAAUUAUACGGCCCUUGACAAAUUGAAAUGGAGACUGAAAACAUUUGAAGCUAACCCCCAGGCAUAUUAAAGAAAUUGAUGAGUUGUCUCUCUUUCACAACAUGCUAUUCCUUCCAUCCCAAAUAGGGCGUCAUGUUUUCCAUUUUGAAAUGUACCAAAAUGUUCAUCACUUUUUCGAAGCUGGUGGAAAUUUAAAUAAAUGGACGGUAUUGUCCUCUUAGAGAUAAAUAUAUGUUUACCCACAAUAUAUUGCAAAACCAAUGCAAUUUUAUUAUUGGAUAUAAAAGGAACAAGUUUGGUCAAAUUUUUUCAUUUUCUUUUAAACUAUUUUCCAUAUUGACCAUGACUAUUUGGGACAUGAAUUUAUUGUAACUUGAGCUGCACCAAGUUCUUUCCAACUGCUUCAUCUUCACACAUCUAUGUCCACCUAGGUUAAUACUGACAUAUAGUGGACAUUCUCUGCGUAUUUUAUCUUUUGAAUUGAAAUAUGCUGGCUAUUGUAAAUGCUAUCUGUUGGUUCCCUAUGCUGGAAAGCUAUAUUGACAUCAUGAGUAUCGAAAACUAGUAAUUUGACUGCUGUGGCUUGUUUUGUAUGGACAGAGGUGGUGGUGGUGUUGAUCCUUCUUGGCAUAGAUCUGGGAGGGGAUUGUACAAAUCAAACUCUAUAUUUGAUUUUGUGUCAUGCGGGGAAUACCUGAUUAAUGAGGGUUAUGUCCAUAAGUGUCGGCUUGGUGCUGUUGGAUGUAGUGCCGGAUGUCUUCUUGCUGGUGCAGCCUCUAAUAUGUAUCCAGAACUCUUUCAAGCUAUUAUUUUGAAGGUAAGCACCCCUACAGAACUUCAACAACUAUCUCACAUUCUUUUGUCGGAUGGCUAUAGAACUCCUAUGAGUUGUAUCCAAAAAUAUUAAAAAAUUACUGGAGUUGAAGAUAUUUUGAACUCCCACCAAAUCUAGGAAGCAUCUUCACCUCCCUCUUAACAUUGACCUUUCCUACUCAAGAUUGGGAAAGGGAAGCAGUAAGAACAAGUGAUGGUUAUUGUCUAAGAACAUGUUAUGUAUUAGUAGUAAACAAAUUUGCUUUUGGGAUGUCUAGUUUUAAAAUUUAACUUCAGUAACUGCUGUUCUACAAUUUAUUGUCAAAGUAAUGUUAAUAUAUAUUUGUCAGAUUCUUCUUAUUGUGUAAGAAUCUGAGUGCUUGGUUUGUUUGGAGAGUAACGUGACCAUGAUGUUUGUCUCAGGUUCCAUUUCUUGAUAUCUGCAACACAUUACUGGAUCCCAGUUUGCCUCUCACCAUAUUGGACUAUGAAGAAUUUGGAAAUCCUCAGAUACGAUCCCAAUUCCAAUCUAUUUUGAGUUAUUCUCCGUAUGAUAAUGUACCAAGUAAAGUUUGCUGUCCUGCAAUGCUUGUGACGGCAUCCUUCAAUGACUCAAGGUAACUUCAAACAUCUAUAAAUAUACACACACACAUAUGCCAUGCCUUUUUGUCAUUUUAAACCUUGCACAUGCAUGUAGUUGUAUAUUCAUACCUCUGCCUAGAAAUAUACAUAUUUGAAAGCAUAAUCGAAUGGAUACGGAUAGUUUAACCGGUGCGGUGCCAUUUUUCAAUUAUCUCAGAGUUGGAGUUUGGGAAGCUGCAAAAUGGGUGGCCAAAGUACGAGAUAAUGCAUGUCCAAAAUGUUGUCACUCAGUCAUCCUGAAGACAAAUAUGAGUGGUGGACAUUUUGGUGAAGGUGGGCGUUUUGGUCAAUGUGAGGAAUUGGCGUAUGAAUAUGCUUUUCUGAUGAAAGCUAUGGGCCUCUCGGAUAAGGAUUGAAAAAGGAUUUGUACCAAGAUUCUUGUAAAACAUUUUCAAGUGUACUCUUACCUCUCCCGAUGGAAUUAUGAGCUAAACUCUCCAAUGCUUUGAAGCUUGCAGUGCCUCUUAAUUGCUGCAUCAAAAGCUACCAAUAAGCUCGGAGCGAGCUUAGUGGUCUUGCGAACUAGGUACUACAUUAUUUUUGAUUUGUAAUAUUUAUCUUCUUGCGAGCUUAGUCUGUUAUGUUACGUGUGCAGGAGUCCAGAAGUAGCCAAUAGUUGUCCUCCUCCUCCUCCAGGGCCAGGCUAGCCAAGAUUUUGACUUGCUGCUGUAUGGCAUAAAAAAGUAGUGGAUUUCUUUCUUAUUACGCUUGGCUGGUGUAGAAGAAGAAGAGAAGACACUUUCCAUAAUACUCUUAGAAUUCUCGAAUAAAAAUAUUUCUUAUUUAGUGCGUUUAAAUGUGAGAAUUUAUACAUUGUAGUAUUAGUAUAGAAUAUGAAUAACAACUAAAGUUGAUAAACCAACCCCACCUCGUCUUGCUAAUUUAAUAUACCAUCUGUUCAUGUGGAUUUAAUAUACCAAUUAACUAUCUCCUCUCCUGCUUAAUUAAUUACAAUUUUCAAGAAUUGGGCCCCUUCAUUAAACAAACGACCCCAGAGGAAGUAGUCCAAAUCCAUGAUCAUGUAUGUUUAUUUUUCACCCUUUUAGCCCAGCCCACAGAUCUGCACUGCACUAAAAUUGUAGAAAUGGCCACCCCAUCCGUUCGCUACCAGUACCUGUUGGACUCUGACCACGCCACGUCAACACCCUAUCACUUUAUUACACGUCACCCUAUCUCUUUCCCCGCCUUAUCCAACGGUCGUGAUGAUCUCACCCAAUCUCAGAUCCACCGGCUAUAAUUGUGCAUUCUGGACANNNNNNNNNNNNNNNNNNNNNNNNNNNNNNNNNNNNNNNNNNNNNNNNNNNNNNNNNNNNNNNNNNNNNNNNNNNNNNNNNNNNNNNNNNNNNNNNNNNNUUAACUUUUUAUAAAAAGAUAAUAAUAAAAUUUUAUAUAAAUUUUAAUUUUAAAUGAUAGUAUUAAAUAAUUUUUUUAAUUUAUAUUUAUAAAGUUAAAAAUAUAAUUAUUAUGGAACCGGGAGAGUAAUAAGUAUGGAUAGUUUUAGGGAGAGAAAGAUUAUGUUAUUCUAACCAGGGUUAGUUAUCUAACCAGGGUUCACGCGCAACGUUCUUCACUGCAGAUAAACCGGAGUUAAAAAGAACAUUCGACGAGAGUGAGAUAAAAUACAUAUAUAUGUAUAUACAUGGAGAGAGAGAGAGAGAGAGAGGCUUAGCAAGAACGAAGAGAGGGUUUUGUGGCUUCGACAAAAACAUUCAGGGAUCCUGCCACAUCGGAAUCCAGCCCGUUGAACCUUCUUUCUUUCUCUCAUUCCGACCGUUGAUCUGUUUGAAUCUUUAUAUUCGCCGGUUGGCCGACCCUUUUUUCAGAGUUCAAUCUAUCCAGAUCCACCCGACUGGUGAGUUAUUUAUUUUAGACUUUUCAAGUUUGUCAAUGUAUUAUUUUCUAAUCAACUUAAAAUUGUUGCAAUUAGUUAGUUUGCACUAUUCAUGAAGAUCCAAACUUUAUUAUGAAUCACUUACAAUAAUUCAACCCUACCCGGAUUGAUUACGCCGGAAUUGUUUUGGAUUUCCUGAUUUUUGAUUGCUUUUAGGGUCCUUGGAGUAUUUUCAUGUUUGUCCAGCUCAUUUAACAAAUUUGAUAUUCCAUAGGAUGGGUAUUUAAUAUCUACCAAAUUUUGCUAAUAAAAACAUUAACUAGAAUUAAAGUGUUUGUAAUGCACAAAACUUCCACUUCCGUUAACUUUUGUUGGAGUUUAAUAGGUUCAAUGUAUGUAGACAUAUAGUGGAAACCAUGUAUACUGUGUUUAUUAUUUUAUUAAGUUAUCAAAAGUUAAAGCUCGAGGUUGUAAGGAAAAUCUGAACUAUUUGGUGGUAUACAAAUGAGAUGCCAUAACUUAGAAAGUUAUAUAAGGUAUGUAAUGCAGAACACUAACAACUGAACUUUGAAUAGUAUACCCAAUAAUCUGGCAAACUGGUCCAUAUACAAAUUAAUAUAUUAGUGUGUAUUCUUUCCCACAUACCCUGCUGCUUAAUUUGGUUUGAUCUUCUCAUGUGACCAUCUUUUUUGAUGACUAUGGUUUUUUAUUUCUCGACCUUCUGCUUCAGUUGUUCUCUGUAUCAUGUUUGUGAUCCACUUGUAUUAAUUUAUUGCAGAUUAAGGUCUAUUGCUAUAUCACAUUAUCAGAUGGAUUUCUAGAUGUGUUGAUCAAGAUACUACUUUUCUCUGCCUCUAACAUCUGAUUAAUGAUCUUAUGUGAAUCAUACUUUCUCAUACAAUUGCAAUCGUCUUCUGAGUUUGGCACUCUCUUCGGAGUGAGGAAAAAAGUUUCUUCCGCUGCCAUCGCGGUUGCCAGCUGCAGGAACAAACAGACUCUCCCUUCAUUUCAUGUCGCCUAAUUUGGACAGCCCUGUUCAGACACAGAUGGCGGUGACAGUAUUUAGCAACCCACUUGGUGGAGAGUAUCACGGAAACAAUAGGAUGGAAGGGAAGCCUUCUGGAAGGAGACGUGUUUUUGUGCAGACUGAAACUGGUUGUGUAUUAGGGAUGGAUUUGGAUCGGAGCGACAAUGCGCAUACUGUGAAGAGGAGGUUGCAGAUUGCCCUUAAUGUUCCAGUUGAGGAGAGUUCAUUGACAUUUGGUGAUAUGGUCCUUAACAACGACCUGAGUGCCAUUCGAAAUGAUUCUCCUCUUCUUCUUACACGAAAUGUAUUGCACAGAAGUUCUUCAACUCCUUGUCUCUCCCCUAUUGGGAGGGAUCUACAACAGAGGGAUCAGAGUGGGCCUAUCGAGAUCUUGGGGCACUCUAAAAGCUUUAUCAAAACAAAGCAACUUGUCAAGGAAAUUAUCAAGGGGAUGAAGAUUGGGGUUGAUCCGAUUGCUGUUCAUGGCGGACUUGGAGGCGCAUACUAUUUUAGAAACUGUAGAGGUGAAAGUGUUGCCAUUGUAAAGCCAACUGACGAAGAGCCUUUUGCACCAAAUAAUCCUAAAGGUUUUGUGGGGAAAGCUCUCGGGCAACCUGGCUUGAAGCGUUCUGUAAGGGUUGGGGAAACUGGGUUCAGAGAAGUUGCUGCUUAUAUUCUUGAUUAUGAUCACUUUGCUAAUGUACCACCCACUGCAUUGGUGAAGAUCACUCACUCAAUCUUCAAUGUCAAUGACGGUGUUAAUGGAAACAAGCCUCAAAGCAAGAAGAUCGUGAGCAAAAUUGCAUCCUUGCAACAAUUCGUACCCCAUGAUUAUGAUGCCAGUGACUAUGGGACGUCAAGUUUCCCUGUAGCUGCUGUGCAUCGUAUUGGGAUAUUAGAUAUCAGGAUAUUAAACACGGACAGGCAUGCAGGAAACCUUCUGGUCAAGAAGCUUGAUCGUGUUGGGAGGUUUGGUCAAGUGGAACUCAUUCCAAUUGAUCAUGGCCUCUGUUUGCCUGAAAGUUUGGAGGAUCCAUACUAUGAAUGGAUCCAUUGGCCCCAGGCUUCAAUUCCAUUUUCAGAAGAGGAACUUGAAUACAUAGAAAAACUAGAUCCUGUUCGGGAUUCUGAGAUGUUGCGAAGUGAACUUCCCAUGAUCCGGGAGGCUUGUCUCCGAGUCUUGGUUCUCUGCACAAUGUUCCUCAAGGAAGCUGCUGGUUUUGGUCUCUGCCUUGCUGAGAUUGGUGAGAUGAUGAGUAGGGAAUUUCGUGGUGGUGAAGAGGAACCCAGUGAGCUUGAGGUUGUUUGUAUUGAGGCAAGGAGACUGAUGGCUGAGAGGGAGGUUUUAUCGCCUAGGGAUGAAGCAGAAGACAACGGGUUUCAAUUUGAUAUAGAUUCUGAAGAACCCGGAUUUGACUUCACAUCAGAGGAACUCAUUUCUCGAACCCCAAUUCAAUUUGGAUUUGGAGGUGGUUUCAGUGGACGUAAUCCGCUUUCCAAGCUAGAGGAAAGCAUUGAGGAGGAUGAGAAGGAAACUGAAGGGGAAGUAGAAGACAAGGGAUCCAUAGCCGUAGGACUUCCGGGCCCUGCAAAGAUGCCUACUGUUUCCAAGCUAUCCAUGUCACUCAAGAACACCAGUUUAGAUGAGAAGCUUAAGUACCGGAAAAUUUCAGGAACUAGGCUAGAAUAUGGUUAUCCGGCAAACUCAUCAUCUGGACACAAGAGUGCGCAUGAUCAGCUUCCCGCCAGUGCUAGCUUUGUAAAGUUUUCAGACAUGAAUGAGGAAGAAUGGGUGCUGUUCUUAGAGAAGUUCCAAGAGCUGCUGUACCCGGCGUUUACUCAGCGGAAGUCUGUGACCCUCGGGCAGAGACAGAGACAGAGGCUUGGGACUUCGUGCCGGUUUUGAGAUCGACUAUAUGUUGCUAUUAGAGAUGACUGAAAUAAAACUGCAGACUUGUGAGAGUGAAGGAUUCAUAGGUUAGGAUUUGAUUGCUAUUGGCUUUCUUCACUGAAGGUUACUGUAGUUGGGACUUUGGUGGUAGUAGCAGUAGGAAAAAUGCUUGUAAAUAUUUUGAAGGCAGCUAAGUGAAAGGCUCGAGCAGAAGGUAGUAAUUUUUCUAUUUAACUUCAAUUUUUUCUUUGGACUCUUUCUGGACUUGUUUGAACAAUAAUUUGUAGAAUGAAAUCCAAAAAUAGUGAAAAAAAGUGUUUGUACAUAUUGAAUAUUAUGCUUCUAAGACUCUUUUUGAAUUGAAACUAUUACUAGUAUUUAUUGGAUUAGCUUGAGUUGCAAUGGUGCUACACUACAAGUCUACAUGGAUGGUAUAUUCUUAUUAAAUUAAUACUAAAAAGAUUAUGUAAAAGGUGUCAUAUAGAAGUUUUAAUUUAUGUGAAAAUUUUCAACAAUAAAUGAGAUAUUUUUCUUCUUCUUCUUUGGUGUUGGGUUAGUUUUAGAGAGGUGGUUUUUUGGAUUUAAAUUCGGGACCAGCGAAGCGAGCGCUUGGUCAUCAUGUCAAGUAGGAUCUCAUUUUCAGGCAUAGGUAGUAUGAUAUGAAUUAUUGGUUCCUAUAAAAUAAAAGUGGGUUUAACUUGAUCUCAAUAGCAAGACAAGGAUUUGUAGCAUCAUCCUUUGUUGUUGUAAAGAUUGACAUUCGUUCUAAAUGGUUUUAAUUAAGUGAUGGAUUUUAUUAAGGUACUAAUUCAAUCACGUGUUGCCAAAAUAAUAUUCAACAAAAACAUGAGGUUUAAAUAUGCAGAGCUGGCAAGGAUCAACAGAUGAAACAACUCAAAGGCCUUCCUUUAUGGCUAAAUUAUGCACCCUUUAGGACUAUAACAACGAGGAUUGUAUAUAAAUAAAUCGGUUACACGAAAGGUUCAUCAGGUGAACUGUCUGUCAAGCUGACAACAUGUCCAAGUCUUGCAGAAUGAUUACAGUUUUGUAGCAAUUCUGCAUGAUCCUCAACACAAUGAACAAUUAGAUUAGAUUAACUAAAUCUUUCAUUCACUAAUCAACCUUCUGCCAGACUUGCUUCCCUUUCCACCUGCUUUCUCAGCUGAUCUAAAAUUAAUAUACAACGCCCCUUCACUCACAAGGGAAUCUAUCUGAUGGCAAGUGUAUUAGUGAACACCUUGUCGUGUAAAGUCCUCCUGCUUCUCUAAAUCUGCACAAGUAACCAAAAAGUAUUUGCUUUCUCAGUUCAAAAUAUAAGGCAAAAAAACGUAACUGGAUCCUAAAUUCUGACAACAUGGAAAAUUGAUCAUUGUACAGUUCUGUGCAGAAUGUUUGACGCUCAACAGCACCUUCCUAUGAAUCAACUAUUGACUGAAUUCCUGAAUCAUGAUCAAUCUUCAUGUUCAUUUUCACCUUCAGAAUCUGCAUAAAUAGAAAAGUAAGUCCAAUUAUAUAUCAGUUACAACGGGAGGUUCUGACUGAAGAUGCUAGUGGUCUGAAUUAUAUGCAAGAGGUUGCUGUCAUAUUAGAUCACUUGGCUGGAGCAAUAAUGGCUGCUAAUACAUUUAUAACAAGCUAUAGAAGUCGUCUUCAAGGGAAAUUUAACCGAUAAUAGGGGUCAAGACGCUGUCAGGCGAGUUUUUUUGAUUUGCUAAAAACUAUCCAUUCCAUCUUUAGGCCCCUAACUAUGAUAAAGGGGCGAGUGCACUUUUUGAUGAACCACAAGUAUAACCCAUACUAAAUAUGAUUAGUCAUGAAGCCAUUAACAGGUUCUCAGGUUUACAGUAAAUUAAAAGUUAUAUAGAGCAUAAUAAACUUCAUCCACUGGAACAAAGCAGUAAUAGAAUUCAUUCAAAACAAAUGCAACCAUCAGUUGAGUAGUGACGGAUUAUUUACAGAAAACCUAUGAUGCCCUUAUUAUACUUAUGGCUUGGAAAAAUGAAUAAACACAAUACCAGAGCACAUUGAACAAUUAUGCUGCAAAAUUAAAAGAAUAGGUAUCUACUCAGAAGGUAUUGAAUGAUUAAGGCCUUCAAAAAUUCAAUCUUCCAUGACAACAAAGCGGUACAUUUGUUUACUUCAACUAGUACUGAUUUGCUACACUAAUGCUUUCCUCUUCUUUUCCCCCCUUUGUGUGGGUUUUUUUUUUGUUUUGUUGGGGNNNNNNNNNNNNNNNNNNNNNNNNNNNNNNNNNNNNNNNNNNNNNNNNNNNNNNNNNNNNNNNNNNNNNNNNNNNNNNNNNNNNNNNNNNNNNNNNNNNNNNCCUUGUUUUGACUUACCAGAUCGAACAUCAUCACUAAGUUGGCCUCUUGCUUGGAUUUGUUUAACAAGCAUCCGAUACAUUAACACCCACCAGUAAAUGUGAAGAACGAGCAAGCAAAAGAGAAGAGUAUUGAACACGUAGUAGUAGAUUGGUCCUUCAACUCUGUGCUUCUCCUUGUCCAAUGCUUGGAGAACUUCAUAACUGCCGAAAAAGGAAUAAUCCAUAAUAUUUCAUCAUAUUUUAAGCUCUUCAACAUAUUAAUAGUUAUCAGAAACUAUAGAAUCUUAAAUUGGAUACUGAAAUUGAUAUUGAUACUAUAAGAAAAGGAAAGAAAAUAAGAUCAAAAAUGAGUAUCUCACUAAAGUGCAAGCAGUGCUACUGAACUAAUAAUAAGUAAACCAAUUAUCAAUGAAACAUUUAACAAUUGAAGUUUUGAACUAUGAAUUUUCAUCCAGAAAAAGAUGAUACUACCAGAAAUCUGUUUGAAUGAUGGCUACUAAUCAAAUAAUAAAAGAACAUAAUUGCCAUUAAAUAGCAUCACAUCUCCUGGCCCUAAGAACUACUAAGAUCAUGUAUUCAGGCUUUUAGCUUCUAGAAAUAUUCCUCAACUAAGAGCUAGAGACGAAACCUUGGGAAAUUAAGAUUUUACGGUAAAUUUAUGAAUCGGAAAGAAACCUGUUUGUUCAACGAUUUUGUGCACAGAUAGUAGAAGAUUAAGAUUCCAAGGUUAAAUAAAUAGAUAUAGGAGUUGUUGAAGCUAGUAUACAUAUGUAGAUAUACAUAAGUGUACCUAUACAACCAAAUGCUGCUGGUGGAGAAUGUAUAUAUAUCUUUUGAGAAUUUAUUCAGCAAUUAUGUUGUGCACCACCAGACUGAGAAAACCACCCUUGGUUCUUAAGUAAAGAUUAUCAAGUAACUGCCAACCAAUUAAUUAGGAAUGGAUACUGCAAGAAGCCACCAUCAUUCUAUCUCUUUGUUCUUCGUAUUCUACUUUGUUUCUUUUUCUUCUCAUGUUUUAUGUUAAAAUAUAACCAUAUUAAUCUUUCCAAUUUGAGAUAAUUCAGCUUGAUUAUACUUAACGCUAGUUGUCUCAUGUUCAAACCUAAAGUAAUUAGGUUUUUAAUUGCUAUUCAGAUUUAAGUUUGACUUGUGCAACCAUUUUUUAAGUCCUUUUGUUUCUGUUGUUGAAAAUUCAUACAUAAUUCUUAAUAAUGUAUAUUGGUUAGUAAAGAUGAGUUGGGUUGACACUAGUCUAGGUUUCAGAUUCCCAAUCAAAUACCAGGUGGCCAAGGUCAGAAAGACAUGCAGAAAUCAAAUGAAAUGAGUGUUAUAACCCUAUUUGGAUAUGAGAUAAAAGUAUUGUACUAAUAAAUUUUUAAAGAAAAACACCUGGCCCAACCCCAAAAGAUAAUGUGAAAGAAGAAACAUAGAGAUCCAAAUGAAUAAUCAUAAAAGAAUGCAACAGUGAAGAUAAAUAGGCUCCUUUAAAUUCCUAAAAUACCUUCAACAAUGGUAUAUCUUGAGGGUAACACACUAGUAGACAACAUUAGACUACCAAAAAAAAGUUGUUGACCGUGAUUGCUUCUUUAACUAGUCAAUUCCAUUUAUUAAUAUCUUCCUUAAUGUCUUAACUUCUGACCUAGUUAAGAUUUUAGAAUACAUAUCAAUUUUGACAAACCAUUUGACAUCAGAGCAAAGGAAUUUGCAAGAGUAUCAAUGAAUAAAUGUGAAAAAGCAAUCUACUCCACCUUGUACUCCAGAGGAUCCAAAAUGGAUAGUAGAUGAGGCGAAGUAGAACCCAUGAUAAAACAAACAGAAUAAAUGAAAAGCUAGCAAGAGUCUCAGUGCCACUAUAUUUGGACAUCUUCCCUACUUCAAGAAAUACAUCACUAGCAUCAUGAAGAGCCAAAACAACAGAACCAACUCGAGCAAACCUGCAAUAAGACACAUGAAACAAAUUUUAAAAAUUCCAUCUGCACCAGGUUAUACUAUUUUAGCCCUUUCUAGUACAUAUAUUAAUUUGAAUAAUCAUAUAUUCAUAUUAAUCAUCCCACAUAAUGCCAUUCCUUGAACAUAUUCCAACCUAAGUUGAAGUCAGCAUAAUUGAAAUUAGAACUGAAAAUGAUAAUUACAAAUUAAUAUCCUUCUAAGCAUACCUGAAUAUGUAAGACAACAUGAUGAGUAUCGCAGUUGCUACAUGAUGACCCAUUGACACCCCAAAAUCAGAACGCCUUGUUUCCCAAAAUAUCAAAGCAAAUAUGGAGUAUGUAUAGAAUCCACCAACAUACAUAUAAAGUCCUUUCAAUUUCAACCUGGUUAUCAUAAAAUGAGUCAACUCAGAAAUAGAAAAUUCUUACAAAGUAAAAGAAUAAAUCAAGAGCGACCCAACGUUGCUACAAAAAUUAUAUAAUCAUUGGUCUAUAAUUUUUGGAAAUCUUACUUAAUUUUAAGCUCUGGCCAUACUUGAUUUCCAGGUCCUGUCCAAAAAUUGCUUGUGUUAGUGAACCAAGGCUCAUCAUAGGUUACAGCAAGAGCUAGAAUCUCUGCUGAAAGGUAAUAAAUGCAUUUCCACGCUGAUUCCUUGAACUUUCGUAUCUUCUUUCUCCUCUCAUCUGUCUCAACAUCCAGCUUCUGAUUUCCCUUUCCAAAUAUCAACAGUCUUCCCACUUUCUGCAAAAUGUAAACAUUCAUUUUACUUUACAGUCUGAAUACAAAAAUUUCCAUUGAAGAGUUAAUUUUCUUUUUCUUUUUGGGUAGGAGGGUUGUGGGGAAGACCUGGCCAUGGAGCAGAUUGAUUCGAGAAGGUCAAUUACAAACAUAUAGAAAGAAAUCAACUAGUGUUGGUGUUGCUUAUACAUGGUGUUGGGAGAGGUAAACUAGAUAAUAUAUAUCCUUCAGCAUUUUUUUUAUGAGUAGCUAUCAUGCAGCGUUAUUUUUUAACAAAUUUUGUGUUCUUGAGCUGAACCAUUCUAUUUGCACCAAAAUAACAAUCCAAAAGAAGUUUACCAAGAACACUCCCCAUGGAAGGUUUAAUCUCGGUUGACGCAUAAGCUGGGCCGAGGACACCCUUACCGUUCAAACAAAAAAAAAGACUAGUUAUCUAGUAAAACCAACAUUGGAGGUUCAUUAAAUCUAUAUUUUUUGAAGCAGAAAAAGCUAUUGAAUCCAAUUUUUUAAAAUUUUAAAAUGAAUUUGUAUUCAGUACCAUUCUUUAAUAUGUAAUAUUCGCAUUCAAUUUUUCAAUCAUGAAAGUUGUAAAUUAGUAACUUGGGAUCAGUCUAAUAAUUGUUUAUCUGCAAUGGUCUCUGCAUGUGGUUUUAUCCUGAUUUUCCAGCUUAUCAUCUAUGAUGUUGCAUUCUAGGUAGUAACAACAUUGAGUCAGAUAAAGAAGAUACUUUCUGGGUAUGUUUGGGAUUACAAAGUUCUGGGAGUGUUGUUUGUUGGUAAUAAAGCAUUAGGGACAGAAACCAGAUGAGCAUUACCAUUCAUGUUAAAGGUACAAAAGGACAACUAAAAGAAGAUAAAACACAGGAUUAUUAGUUGGGAAAAAGAACUACAGCCCUAAAAUAAAAUAAGUUCCACAUUGUCAAUAAAAUGUACUAGCUAAGGAUUUAAAUAAAUAUGUAUUGUCUCUCAUGGUCCAAUUGGCCAUGGAUGACUAAUAAGUAAAAUCUUAGUUAGUAUUAGAUCAUAAAUCCCGUCUCAAUUAUGAAAUUAAGAUCAUGCAUUACUAAAAUGGAUAAAAUACCGCCUAAGAGAACAUCGAAUCACUCAAAAUCCAUGUGACUUGACGUAAAUGUCAGGGAAAAAUCUUGGUAGAAAAAGAUGCCACAGAAAGCACAGACAUUAAUAUGUUACUCCCUCCAUCACAAAAGAAAGUCCAGUUUCGAAAGUCUUAAAAAUGUUUGACUUUAGCAUAAUUAACGACUAAGAUCAUAAUUUAGACUUCGCAGGAAUCUAAUAUAAAGAAGAAGCUAUUGAAUCAAAAAGAUGCGCCUCUAUAGGUGUUUAUGGUGUAAAAUGCUUUUGCUGGGCUGAUUGGACCUUCUUUAAUAUUGGAGUGAGCAGUCUUCAUCUUUUUGGUUAUACUGUUGCAGUGAGUAAAUACAAAGUAUAAACUAUAAACAGAACUGUAUAUUCUGUUCUUUGUGCUUAAAAAAACAUAUAUCCAUAGCACAAUUACAGCUAGAAAAACAACAGAAUUUCAAAAAUUAACACAAAGCAAAAGGAUGAAUGCAAUAUUGGUCGACGAUACACCAUAUAUUCGUAAAGCAAUGAAUAGCAAAACGUACACACAGUGAGCUUGAUCAGUCGAUCUAAUAACCAAUUAUCAAACAAAGUGAACAUCAAUCGAAAGUAAAAGAAACCCACUUCAAUCAAACUGAUAAUAAAAUCAACAAGGUACCUCGAAAAUAAAUCUGUCGAGAAAGAAGCGCACUGUAGGGAAGAACAGGGCAAAUAAGGGAAGAACUGCAAAAUCUUCAUACUUUGGAAACGAUUCAUGUUCCCAAUCAAAGGAACCCAAAAAUUCAACCAAGUCCAUUACGGGUUUCCUCAGAAUAACUGUAUCUGUAUCUAUAUAAUUGGUAAGUAAAUCUCUCUAUAUAUAUACACGUAUAUAUGAAUAUGGAUGAAUUCUUGGGCAGAUCAAUGUCUAGCCCAGUAAGGUGAGAUCAAAUCGAGGACUUUAGCAAUGUAAUUGGUUGGUUAUUGUGUAUUGAACAGAUCUGUCUCCCCCACCAGAAUUAUUUAUUUAUUUAAGAUGCCAUUUGAUAAAUCAAGUCAAUUCGGCUUUGAGGUUGACAUUAUAAAAAGUUGGCAAUCGACUGGCGAUUGUUAUCUGGACCGGCGUACGAUUAGUAGAGUCCAGCAUGGUGGGAAGGCUUUGGGCUGCCCAAUAUCAGUUGAGAAAGAGAAUAGCUUUUAUGGUUUAAUCGUAAUCCAAAAACUGUGCAAUAUACAAUUUUUUUUAAUUACUUAAUGAAAAUAUGGCACCUUAAAUAAUUUUAUUAAUUAUUUAUUUAGAUUUUAUUUAUUUAUGAGAACCUAUUAUUUUGCAAUUCAUUUUAGAGAUACAUUUCAUUCUACAGCCUAAGGAAAGUUGGAGAAGGGGUCCGUAAAAAUCAGAGAGCAACUUAAGAGAAACUUAUUUUUAAGUAUAAAACAAAGGAAAUCAUAUAUUUAACUUUUGCCAAUUUCAGAAUGAAAUAAAAAUAAUAUAUUUGAUGAUCAUUUUUGAGUAUAAAUUAUUCCAUUCCAAUAGAAUGGAUUUCCUUUCAAUCCUGGCCUUAACAUUUUUACUGUGAUUUUCAAGUCCUGAGAACGGUUAAAUACAAACACAGAGAGUAUUACCAUUUGUGUAAUUUUUUAGCAGUAAAUUAAUUAGUCAUCCAAGAAGAAGUUUAAACUGGGGCCUCCUCUUCCAAUAGGCCAAGUUGUCUGAGGGAUGAAUGAAAUAAUAAAUGAUACACAAUUAUAAGCAUCUUAAGUUCAUCCCCUUGAAACAUCACUACCCCCUUGCAUCUUGUUUGGCUGGGCUUACCGAGAGAUGAUAAAAUCCAUGGCAGCCUAGCUGUAAUGGGACACACAUCGGAAGCUAAUGAUUUGUGUGCCUGUUUUUAGUUCGUUUUCUGAAUGUGCCUAUAUAGUUUAGUUAGUUCCUUUCAAUGAAAUAAACAAGUGUGACUGGAGCCGGGAUAUCUUACUUGAGGAUAAGUCCAUAAUUAGCUGAAUGUAUAUACAUACAACCUCAGUGAUUUGCAGGGCUAGUAAUUAUCAUCUUCUUUUUUAGAAGACAAAUCAUAUAUUUAACUUUUGCCAAUUCCAGAAGAAACCAAGUUAUAUUUCCGGGUAAUAGAAGCCAGAGAUGUGAUGGUGCUAAAAUUGAUAAUAAUAAUAAUAAUAAUAAUAAUAAUAAUUUCAUUUUGUAUCAUCAAUGUAGCGUUUUUUGCUUUUUGCAUGGAAGAUUCGCAUUUAUAGGAGUCGGUUUCCUUUCUAAGAAAAUUAGAGUCUCAGAUUUUCUUGUUCUGAACAAGAAUACUUUGUUUUUCAGUUGAUUACUCUCUUUUUGAUUUUCUGCUGUAUACUCUAGCGAUAGACAUGGACUCAUCCCAAGUCUGCGGAGUCAUAGAAGAAUAUAGUAGCAGUGAGUCCGGGUGGGCAAUGUAUAUAAACUCUCCCAACCACGAAAACAAGAAUGAGGAUGGAGGUGAUCACCAAACAGAUCAAGAAUCUGGGCAUGAUAAUGCAGAGUGAUGAUUCUAUGGCUUCAGACGCCUCUUCAGGUUCAAGUCAUGAUCAUCGUGUAACUUUACACACUAAGGAAAGUUGUGGCAAGGGUGAUUUCAAGUACGCAAAGGAUAAAAAUUUGGUCCAAACUUCACGCAAGAUACCUAGGAAACAGAUGGAGAAGAAGAUGUACAAAAGGAAGAAAGAAGCUGAGACCCAAGAGCCAAAACACCAGCCAUACAGAGCUAUCGGUUAUGGUCAAAGUGGAGCAAAGAAAAUCAAGUAGGAGGGCAGAAGACACUUCAUAGAUUCAGUGAGCACACAGUAGUGUAGUCAGGCAGUAUUAGCUAACUCAAGCACAUGUAUACAUCAUAAAUGUUCACGUGAUCCUUUGUUUCAUGUUCCAUGAUAUAUAAAAGUUUCAAAUGCGUGUGUAUAUAUAUAUAUAUAUAUAUAUAUAUAUACAUAUACAUAUACUUGUAUGAAUAUAUGUCAGACCAAACAUGCAAAAAGGUGAUUUAGAAACUGAUACAGAUCUAGGGUAGCAAAAAUCUAGGGAGCGAUAGCAUAGAGAUGGAGGAUGACAAUUGACAAACACCAAAAUACCAGGCAUUACUAUUAAGAAAAGACGCCACAAAUAUGAUAUUUGAGCUCUACCUCUUCUUGAAGAAAUAUUGUUGGUCUAUUGGUUUCAAAGCUCGUGCUCGUAGUUCAUCUAAAGGCAGUUCAUCUAGCUGAGGUCAAUAAUCAAUGGCAGCAUCAAUGAAAAGCAUUUGAACAUGAAAAAUUAAAAUUUAAGACUUCAUAUAACAAGAAAGUACAUGACCAGAAUAAAGAUCCACGGGACCCCCAGCAAACAUAUAUUGCUCUUAUAAUUAAGAAGAUAGGUCCACCACAAUAUGAAAAAUCAAACCAAAUCUAAAAGAAGUUACAACAAACAUAGAUAAUAUGCAAUUUAGACACUUUCAGUAUAUCUAGAAACAACAAUGCCAAGAAAAGUAUGACAAAAUGAAAUAGAAUCAAAUGCUCGGUCUCAAUCACCAAUGGAACAUUAUUAGGUAUAAAAGACAACAGUUCAAAAUGGUUGAAGACAACCAUCGGAAAUCAGAUCUUUGACUGUUUGGCGAUCUUGAACCAUUCAGUAUGGAAGGCCCCUGGUAUAUCAGUCCUCUCAUAUGUAUGAGCACCAAAAUAAUCUCUUUGCGCUUGAACCAAAUUAGCAGGCAGCCUUUCCCUUCUAUAGGUGUCAAAGUAAGCGAGACUAGAAGACAUACCCGGUGUGCUUAUACCUGCGUUGAUAGCAAGACAAACAACUCUUCGCCAAGCAGAUUGUCGCUCUAUCAUCUCCUUUGCAAACUCUGGAUCCACAAGAAGGUUAGCGAGAUCUGCAUUUCUAUCAUAAGCCUGCUUGAUGCGGUCCAAAAAUAUUGCACGGAUAAUGCAACCCCCCUUCCAAAUCCUAGCAAGCUCCCCAAGUUUUAAACCCCACCCCUUUUCAAUACUCUUUGCGCGGAUCAAAUUCAUUCCCUGGGCAUAACUACAUAUCUUGGAAGCGUACAGCGCUUGUCUGACAUCAUCAAUCAACCUCUUCUUAUCCACAGUUUGGUCAAUGAGGAUGUCCCCCACCCCGCCUGCUUUGAAGACCUCUGCAGCUGCAACUCUUUCAUCCUUCAAACCACUGAGGAAUCUUGAAUCCAAAGAUGAAGCUAUAGUAGGAGCAGCAAUAGACAGCUCAGCAGCUUGCUGGACCGUCCAUUUACCUGUACCCUUCAUGCCUGUUUUAUCAAGAACCUUGUCCACCAAAUACCCAUCUCCCUUAUCAUCCUUAAUUCCAAAUAUAUCUGCUGUAAUCUCGAUUAAGAAGCUCAGAAGUUCCCCCUUAUUCCACUCUGAGAAAACCUGAUGCAAUUCCUCAUUUGAGAGCUUCCCAACUGAUUUUAGUACAUCAUAAGCUUCUGAAAUCAGCUGCAUAUCACCAUACUCAAUCCCAUUGUGAACCAUCUUAACAAAAUUUCCAGAUCCACCUUCGCCAAUGUAUGUAACGCAAGGGCCACUGUCAGGAACUUGAGCAGCCACCUUGAGAAGGAUAUCUUCUAUAUUCUUAUAAGCCUCAAAGGAUCCUCCAGGCAUUAAAGAGGGUCCAUUCCGAGCACCCUCUUCACCACCCGAAACUCCCAUUCCAAGAUAGAGUAAGCCUAAUUCAGCCAUAGCUUUCUCUCUCCUUUCGGUGUUCUCGUACCACUCGUUACCACCAUCAAUGAUACAAUCUCCUUUCUCCAAGUAGACGGAAAGGGUUUUGAUGGUUUGAUCAACUGGUGCACCAGCCUUAACAAGCAUAAUUAUGACUCGAGGUUUCUGGAUUGAAUUAACAAAGGCCUCAGGAUCAUGGAAGCCGUACAAGGGAAGGUUUCCUUCAAGUUGGGCGCGUUCCACGGUCUCGUCAACUUUUGAAGUAGUUCGGUUGUAAACAGAAAUAGGGAAUCCUUUCUCAGCAAUGUUGAGGGCAAGAUUUUGACCCAUGACGGCAAGGCCAGCGAGACCGAUUCUUGUUGGGAGAGGAGCCAUUUCCUUUUCCUGUUUAAAACUUUACCAUCAGACAUCAGUAGAUUAUAUUUAUGGUUUCAUAAAUCACAUGCUAAUGGAGAGGAAAGUUCCAAUAACAUCGAAAAAUGGAAACAAAAAAAUCAUUUAAGGAACCAUUCUAAACAGGCCAGUAAAGUCUAUAUACUUGGGUGAAUCCUAACAAAACAGAACAAAAAGAACCCAAAAAUUCAAGACUUAUUGCAAAGCCUCCAUAUUGUUAAAAUGGAAUCUAAAAAAUCUAUUGGACAGACAAACAUAUCUCAGUGGGAAGGAAAUACAAAUUAACUGUUUAACCAGAAGAACUUGGAACUUAUUUCCAAGAUCCGUGCUACAUUUUGUUGCUUUGAGUAGGAAGUGGGAGAUCCAAUUCAAAUCCCGUAAUUGGUUGCUUACUAUAUUAAAAAUGAAUUUGGAAAUCCCCCAACUCUUCCCCUUCAUAUGGUCCAGUAUUAAAUUCCAAAGAUUCAUAACCUAUAUCCUACCUCCUACAUAGAUGAAUGGGUAAAUCUGAUCUACCUUAUCACAUUCAGCCAAAUAAUUACAAUAUUAUGAUUUCCUGAUCACUUCACCAACAAAUCAGAAAGUGACCUACAGAAGAUGUGCAAAAUAAAGAUUCAAAUAAAAGGAACCGGUUAUAUAAUUGAACCCCAUAUCAAAAGAAUCACAGAUAACUUAAUAGAAUGUUGCCAAGAAGAACCAAAUUUAUGACAAAAACGAGAUGAAAAUGAAAAAAAAAAUAACUUGCUGGUAGAAGUAGUAAAAAAUCAGUAACAAACACAUUAUAUACAUCCAAAGGUUCAAUCAAACUAUAUAGCAGAAAACAAAUCGGGCAAACAAAGUCCGGAAACUUUCAAAGGCAAAGGAAAAAGCAAAAAAACAACAUCUCAGCACUGAUCAAAGAUGAAAGAUUGAAUCUUGACAAGGAAGUAUUACCUCAGAAGAAUACAAAACUAUGAAACUUUACUUCAAAUGGUUCGAACCAGAGAAAUUUUUGGAUCUGAGCUUUUAAGAUCACACUCAAUCAAUCCGGUAGAAGACGAUUAUAUACUGGUAUAAAGAAGGUUCCCACACUAGUCUAUCUUCUGACUUCGGCGGAAGCCCAGUACAUUCACGCGCAAGUCAAAUUCGGCUGGCUUAUCGUUUUCCCCUAUCACCGGUGAAUUGGUGAUUGAUUUACCAAAUGCCCUUCUUUUCCCGCAUAUCCCAGCGGAUCCACCUACCACCAAACUACUCCUACUUAAAAGUUAAAAGGGAUAAAUAACGUUUUCUUCGAACUUUGAUUUUCAUUGUGAUUAUCGAAUUUUUUUUUAUUACAAUUCAAUAAUUAUACUUUCAAAAAUUUAUAAAAUAGUCAUUCCGUCCAAUUUUUCGUCCAAAAAAUAUUAAAAAUACUGACUGUGCAAGUUGACUUGACUUUUUUACUUACGUAGAACACAAAAAAGACAAGCAAGUAGAUUAUUAUAGCACAAAUGACCAAAACUAUUAAUUACUUCACCUAAACAAUUCCAAAACUAAUAAUAAUAAUAAUACUAAUAAUUUCUAAAUAAUAAUAAUAAUAAUAAUAAAUACUAUUAAUAGUAAUAAUUUUAAAAUUCUAUUUUUAAAUUUUUUUAAAAAAAAAUCUGUUAAUUUUAAAAAAGUCUUUUUUUUAAAAGAUUUUUUGUUUUUUAUAAUUCAAUUUUUUUUAAAAAGUCUGUUUUUUUAAAAAACGUUAAUUUUUUAUAAAAACAGAUUUUUUUUAAUUUUUUUAAAAACGUUAAUUUUUUUUAACUGAACUAAUAUUUUUUUUAAAAAGUUAAUUUUUUUUAAAAACGUUAAUUUUUUUAUAAAAACAGAAUUUUUUUUUAGAAAAUUAAUGUUUUUUUGAAUUUUUUUAAAAAUUUAACGUUUUUUAAUUUUUUUUUAAAAAAGUAACGUUUUCAAAAUUUUUUUAGAAAAGUAACGUUUUUUAAAUUUUUUUAGAAAAGUAACGUUUUUUAAAAAAAUUUUAGAAAAUUAACGUUUUUUAAAUAUUUAGAAAAGUAACGUUUUUUAAAUUUUUAAAAAUUAACGUUUUUUAAAUUUAAGAAUUUUUAAAAAAAAUAUUAGUUCAGUUUUAAAAAAAUUAAAAAAAUUCUGUUUUUAUAAAAAAUUAACGUUUUUAAAAAAAACAGACUUUUUAAAAAAAAAUUGAAUUUUAAAAAACAGAUUUUUUUUUAAAAACAUCUUUUUUUAAAAAAAGACUUUUUUAAUAUUAACAGAUUUUUUUUAAAAAUAGAAUUUUAAAAUUAUUACUAUUAUUAUUAUUAUUUUGAAAUUAUUAUUAUUAUUAUUAUUAUUAUUAUUAGUUUUGAAAUUGUUUAGGUGAAGUAUUUAAUAGUUUUGGUCAUUUGUGCUAUAAUAAUCCGCCUGCUUGUAUUUUCUGUGCUCCACGUAAGCAAAAAAGUUAAGUCAACUUGCACAGUCAGCAUUCCUAACGUUUUUUGGACGGAAAAUCGGACGGAAUGACUAUUUUGUAAGUUUUUGAAAGUACAGUUAUUCGAUUGUAAUAAAAAAAAGUUUCGAUAACCACAAUGAAAACCGGACCCCAGUAUAAUGACCAAAACGUUAUUUAUCCCAAAGUUAAAAGCAUGAUUUUUAAUACAAUUUUUUUUUUGUUAUAUCUGCACAGAUCAAAUACUACAUGAAAUAUGUAGAAGGACUAAUUUAUUAUAAAAAUUCCCCUUCUUUAAUUUUCUUAAUUUGUAAAAAAAAACAGAGACCUAAGAAAUUUCGAUAUACAAUCUAAACUGUAGCAAUAAAUUAAGGAUAUAUUUUUAAAUUGCCAAUUUUAAAAAUAAUAUUAAUUAUAAAUAUAGUAGUAGUACGUAGUGACAUGAGGCUAUAAUACUAUUCAAUAAUCAAUAAUUUUAAUAAAAAUAUAUAUUUAUUUGGAACAAACAUAAAAGAAAAAAGUAUGUCUCAUUUUGGAAUGAAAAGGUUAAUUUAUCCAUUCAUUAAAAGCAUUCUUAUUAGAAUUUAUGUUGAGAAAUAUGUCAAAUUCUAAAAUUCAAAUUGUAAUGUAAAUUUAUUUUAAUUUUUAAAAUAAAAAAUUUAUGCUUGGCAAUUUAUAAUAGUAUUAACUAUUGUAUUAAUGUUUACAUGAAUUUUGAAAUUUUAAAUUUACCAAAUUGAAUAUGAUAUAGAAAUCAAGUGGAACAGUAUUUGUGCAUGUGAAAAUUCAAUUGAUAAGAUUCACAUGCUAUUAUAACUUAAUAAAAUAAUAAGAAUUCCACAUAUCUAUUUUUAUUCUCAAAUCAAUCCAUCGUUUCAUCUCUAGUUCACCAAAGCCCUAACACGAAUAAUCUUUCCUGAAAAUUUCCUCUAAUAUUUUUUGAAGCUUUAGUAAGUUAUAAUGUUAAUUUAUUAUAAUGCUCUCUUAACUUAGUGAAAAAAUAUUUAUUUUUUUCAGAUAUGUAGUGAAGUGACCUAUGCGCAUGUCGCGUUAUCAAUUUUUGACGUGACACAACUAAUUGGUAGACAUUAAAAUAAAUUAAGAGAAAAAGUCCGGCCAAUUUAUUUAUUUUUUAUGAUUCCUAAACAAUUUAUAAUAUUUAUUAGAACUGAAUUUUUUAUAAAAUUCAGUGAUUUAGGUGUCAUUUAGAUACAUGUAAAAAACAUAAUUGUACAGUUCCAAAUGAGACCUAGAUCACUGAAUUCUAUAAAAAUUUCAGUUUCAAUAAAUAUUAUAAAUUGUUUGGGAGUCAUAAAAAAAAUUGUUAAAAUUUUUUAUGAGAAAGUGUUCAUGGUAGCAAUAUUUAAUGAAGCCUUAUUUUAAACAAUAAGUCCAUUUUUAAUGUCUAGCUAAAAAAUUUCUUAUCUAGAUUUCUCAGCUCAAUUCACCACCGUUCACAAACCUUAAGCUGUUGUUUGAUACAUGUCAUCUUAGCUCCUAAUCCUUAAUAACAUAGAUUUAUAUUUGAUAAUCUUAAUUUUUUUUCAUAAAUUAGAAAGUAGACCUGAUAAACAGGUGAGACAACGAUUAAAAGCUCGAUUUUUAUUGGGUUACAAAUGUAAAUACCAUGACCACAAUAAUGUGUACAAGAUAAUAAAUUCAUGAAAAAUGAUAUUUGUUUAUAAAAACCAUCAUUUAUAAAAUAUAUUUUUAAUUUUGGAUCCCAAGGAAUAUUUAAAAUUAUCAUAGGUAGUAAUUUCGUAGACAAUAUUUUAAUUUUAAAUUUAUUACUCUUUAUAAAGUUCAUUAGCAGUUGAAAGAACUUAUGAAGUAGUCUAGAUUUUAAAGUUGUAAAUAAAUAUUAUAAAAAUCAAAAAAGAAAGAAAAUAUAUACAAAUGAUUCUUCACAUUAAAGGUGAGACUCCACAAUUCUUUGUUUAAACUGUGUUAAUUUGAAUUAGGUUGUGUUUAAUUUCUUAUCAUUUGUUAAUUUGAGCUUGAAUCUAGAUAGUAGUUUGAAGAUGAUGCAGCAUCAUAUUAGUAUUAGCACGAAAUAAGAAAUAAAGGCUUGUGAGAAGUAUAUUGACAAAUACUAAUCUAAUUAGUUAAAGAAAAUUGCUCCAUCUAACACCCAACCCAAGAGCAUGCAUUCAAUGUUGCUAUAUAUAAGAGCAUCUCCAAACAAAUAGACAAACAUAUAAAUAUUCUUUUCGCUCUUAAAUCUAUAACCUCCUUUCUACUCUUCAAAUCUAUAAUUAAAGGCUAAAAAUAUUUAUUAUAUAUGUUUGAUAGGUCUGAUGUAUAGCUCAUUAGAUUGAAAAGACUGAUGACGCACAAAAUAUGAAAAUAACAAAUAAUACUCUUUAAAUUAUCACGUAGGUCAACAAAUAUUAAUUUGAAAAAUAUUUUUUACUCCUACUCUUGGAGAUGCUCUAAUAAGGUCAAAUGUAUGAGUAGAGAGACAAGAUGUACAAGCGAUGAAGGCUGUUGGAAAAAACUAUAAACUUAAUUUAGCUGCUUAUAAUGAGUUGCCUUUUUCAAAUGUUUUAAUCUUCUAGUACGUAGUUCAUUGUAUAUAUUAUUAUCCACUACUACCAGCACCUCCACCACCAUUUGUCCCAUUGCUCUGCUACAGUGAGCAAAAACAUGACUUAAUUUGGCCUUCCUUCAAACUACCUGCUGGAUCCUGUUUCCAUGAAGAGCCGGAAAUAUUAUUUAUCCCCAUAUUCAUUCUGUGAUUACGCAAAAUAUUAGAAGAGCCGGCCGGAAACUGGUGUUUUUAAAUAAUGAAUAUUUGUUCACGAGGAAAACUAUAUUUAUUUAGCUCCUUUGGUAUAUGGUUCAUGAUGUUAUAAACCUCUAUUUUCCUUUGAAUGAGACAAAUAUAUAGUAGCAUAAUUCAUACUUGAGAGAAUAAGGAAUAUAUAUAUAUCAAAAAGUGGAUAUAGAACAAACGUUAUUAUUCCAUCAAACGUAUAUAUAUACAUAUUUAUUUCUAGUGUUUUGUUGCAGUUUGUGACAAUUUGAGUGAUUAAUCUCGUUGAAGAAAAUUUGAGGAAUUUCUGAUGCAUUGGUUUGAAGAUUCAGCCCUGAGAUGGGCGGCUGUGCAAGGAAUUAAUCUACUCGAUCCAGAUGUCUCAAAUUAAACCGUCGUAAGUAAAUGAAAGUUGAAUGUCAGUUAGCCUGUGACGAAGGUCGGACGCCUCUUCCUUGAGCCAUGCAUUCUCUAGAAGAACUCUGUCAUGGCUCUCUGAUGCAUCAUUCAACUUGUCUAUGAGGUCCUGAUUCUCAGUUCUUAGACGCAGCACCUGUGACCAGAGCUCAUCUAGUUGUUUCUGCUUCCGCAUCCUUGACCUGCGAGCAGAUUCUCUAUUAGAAAUCAUCCUCCUUAGCUUUCUCUCGUCGAUGAUGCUAAGCUGAAGCUCAUGAUCAUCUCCUUCGUCUGAGGUUGAGUUAUUGCUGAUACACGAGGGCUGCGGAGUGAACUCAUGGACGGAAAGAGAGGUUUGAAAAUUCGGAAAGUUGUUUAAGAAGCUGCUGAAAGGGAGUGAUGGCAUGCUAUUAUCCUGCAUCAACCCAAAAUUAUUUGCAAAAUGGGUUGAUUUUUCUUGAGCUAGGGGGUGGUGGAUUCCUGCGAUCUCGGACCGAAAAAGCAUGGCUAAAUAUGGUUGGUGUAAGAGUGAAUUUGAAGGUUUAUUGUGCAGAUAGUGUAGAGAGGGGAUGGACAGAAUGAGGGGUUUUAUAGGAGGAUUAAACAAACAUAUAUAGUAAUAGCACUUCAAAUGUGUGUGAUGUAUGCAUGUAAUGAUUGGAACUGAUACUAUAUACUACAAGUAUAUGUGUAUGUGUGUGUGUGUGUUCAGUGUUGAUGCAUGUAUAUUUCUUGGAUAACGGAUAACUUGAGUUUUUGGAUAAUCAUUGAUGUAAUUCUUACUGGGGAAGGAAUGUUUGUGGUAAAAAUGAUGAAAAAAGUAGAGCCAAUGAGAAAAUAGUCUUUCAAAAUUCAUUCUAAAUGUUGUCCCCUUCUGAUUGAUGACCAAUUGUGGGUGACUGGAAAAAUUAGAGCCAUACAAUAAAAAUAGAAUUUUAAUUAGUGACCAUUUUUAUAUUAAUUCAGUGACUGGAAGGGCACUUCAAUUUAGAUUCAGGGGACCUAAUGAGUAUUGAAAAUAUUAGUAUUAAUUAUCUCGACAAUUAACAUCUAGUACGUAACUUCAUUUCUUCCAUUUUUUUACUUUUUAUAUUAUCAUGUUAUUACUAUUAUAUUUUUAAUCAAUCUUAAAAUUAAAAUUAAAAAAAUAUUAUUAAAAAUCUUCGUUUUAUAAAUAUAUCUACAAUAACAUUAAAAAUAGGAUGACUACUAAGGUUGAGUAAUACCAAUAAAACUAUUUUGUUCAGUUUCGUUUGAAGUUCUAUUAAUAUUACAAGAAUGCUCUACUCCAUAUAAUUAGCACUUGGCAAUGAUAAUUACCAGAAGUGCUGAAAUGUACUCGGCAUCUUUUAGGUUCUAAAUUCUGUCUCUUUCACACCAAAUUAACUAGCCGUCACCACAGCUUCUCACGUCUCUCUCUCUCUCUCUCUCUCUCUCUCUCUCUCUCUCUCUCUCUAACAUGCAUUCUUAUUAUAUAUAAUUAAGCAUAAUUAAGAUCGUGGUCAAUUAUUAUUCGGUAAUGGUUUAUAAUUAAUUAAUACAAGGAAGAAGUCAAUAUAUAAUACUGCCCUUGUAUGCUUUUAAAGGGUCAUUGUCAUUUAUUAGUAUUUCUUUGAAGAAUAAUUAUAUAUAUAUAUAUAUAUAUAUAUAUAUAUAUAAUUAUUCUAUUAUUCUUGAAAAAUGGAUCAAGAAAAGUGUAGACAAAUCUCAGAGGUAGCAACGUGCAACCGAAUUGAAGAUGUUCUAUAUAUUUAUAUUUAUAUGCAUGCAUGCUAGUAUUAAUUAUUAUAUUAAUAAACAGUUCGAUAUAUAUUAAUUCCACCCCUAGUACGUACUACUAUUAUGUUAUUUUAUAUGUUUAAUUGGUGAUUACCCACUAACCAAAUUAAACAUCCCUUUGGUGCAACUUGAUCCAACAAGAGAAAACUAAGAAUCCGGCCGGAACCGCAAGGUUCCACGCAAUCCUUGAAAUAUUUAAUUUAAAGGCUUCUACUAUUCUAUUCUCUAGUCAGUAGUCAUGUACUGCAUGCCUAAUCAAAUAAUUUUAGUUAAAACCCCCCACUAAUUAAAACAUCAUCAGCUAAUGGUGGAUUCCCUUUUUAGAUAUAUAUAUAUAUAUAUAUAUAUAUAUAGAGAGAGAGAGAGAGAGAGAGAGAAAUUAACGUUGAUCGAGAAUACCAAAUGUGUGCCAUAAAUCCCAUACAUUUUUAAAGAGUAAAUAUUAAUAUUACAUUUUGAACAAAGAGUAUUAAUUAUUUUUUAAAAAAAUAAUUUACUCCAUAAUAUUAAUAAUUUUAUUGACUAAAAUCUUAUUUACUUUUAAUAUUCAUUCGUUCGUGUUUGUAAUUUAAUUUUUUCAUUACUUGAACAAAUCACCUAAUAAAAACUAUGUUUAAUUACCUAUAAUUUUAAUAAGUUUUUUUCCCUUCCAGCUACACGUGUCUGCCAUGUGAGGUUUUGAAGAAAAUUUUUAUGAGACCUCUUGUCACCUUAACAAUGUCCCUUCUCAAGUUUCCAUCAAGAACUAAUUUGCAAGCUUUAGAAUUUGGUAGCAUCACUUAAAUUGUACCCGCGUGUGGGUUUUUCUCCACUUUUCCCCCACCCAAACAACCCAAUUAGUUAUAAUCAAGUAUACUUUCUUUUUUAUCAUGACGAUUAGGUCAUUGUGUUGCGAUAUAUAAUAUAUAUUGGUUCUAAUAGGAUAAGCUCAUCAUCUUAAUACCCUCUUGCGCGUCUUUUAUUCAUCAAUACUCGUGCAAUUUUAUAUGUUGAUUUUUUAAUUACGAAUUACGUAGAUAAUUAUAUAAUUGAUAAUAUUUUAACGAUAUAUUUGAAAUAAUAUGCUAAUUUUAUAAUUCUAUUUAUUGAUAUAUAUAUAUAUAUAUAUAUAUGGAUUCCAUUCAUAACAACCGGUUGUUGGGAGCAACUCAUUUUUGGCCAGCCGCUACAGCCUGUAGCGGCUUAUAAAAAAAAUAAAAAAAUUANNNNNNNNNNNNNNNNNNNNNNNNNNNNNNNNNNNNNNNNNNNNNNNNNNNNNNNNNNNNNNNNNNNNNNNNNNNNNNNNNNNNNNNNNNNNNNNNNNNNAUAUAUAUAUAUAUGUUAUAAUUGUACGUGGCAAAGACUCUUAAUUUUUUGGCCACAAGAUUAAUAUAUAAAUAUUCAGUUCUUAAUUACCAUCUUUCCAGAUGUUAUUAGAAUAAUGAUACGAUAAUAAUUAAUGGCAAAAAUUGUUGUUUAAGGUUGUUUAUAUAGUUGGUCAGAUUAUAAUGAUAAUGAUAAUGAUAAAUUGUUCAUGGACGACAAUGCUUUUGUAAGUCCAUUCUUUAAGUGUGCAUUAAACUUCAAUUCUUUAACUUUGUUUAUGGUAAUGGCCAAUGGGAUUCGAUAAUUAUGGAUUAUUUAAAAAUAUUUUAUGUGGACAUCGUGCUCCUCUAGGCUCUAAUUAUAUAUGCUUCCACUUGUCAAGUUGUAUAUAGAGACUCUAUUUGUGAUCAGAUUUUAGAAUUCAUGGCCCUCCUUACGUUACGUACCUUACUAAUUAAGUUUGUCAAUUCCUAAAUUUGAUUGUCCUCCACGGCAAUCAAAUUUAGAAAUUGGAUUUAAUGCAAAAAAAAUUUAAUCAAGAUCGACUUUAUUAAAUCAAAUUAAUUUUUAAUAACUGAAGUUGUUAAAAGUCCGUGUAUAGCAGAGCCAUAGGCAUGGUGUCAUACAUUUGGUAAUAUUUCUCGUCUCACCACUUAAAAUAUCUUACACACUCUUUUUCAUGAAACAUGUUUUUUUUUUUGCCAAUAUUUUAUUCUAAAAUAAAAGAACUCUAUUUUUAUUUUAUUUUAUUUUAUGAAAUAGGAGUAUAAAAUGACACAUGCAGUGUGCUCAAAUUAAUCGUUACUACAAUUUUACUACAUUGACGUCAUUCUGAAGUUUAAAAUGUACACAUAAAUAUGGAAUAAAAAUAAAUUCUUCAACUUUAUAACUUUGAUGGAUUAAUUUUUGUGGGACAGACCAAUGGAGGACUUGCAAAAGUUUCUAGAAACCAUAGUAUUAAUUAAUAUACGUACAGAGUUUUGCUAAAUUACUUGCAAAAAUAGCUACCUAAUCUUAUAUAUUGUUUGAAUUUUCUUUUAUUAAAGAAGUGGAUGACUAAUACAUUAAGGACUCGUCAAGAACUUAAUUAAUCCUUGAAUCCCACCACGGCCACUACCAGAAACUAAGUCAAUUCUUUAAUGACAUCAACUAUAUACACACAUACAUAUAUAACCGUACGUAUUCUCAAAUUUGUCAUGAUGGAAGUGCUUAUUGCUUUAUUUAUUUAUGGUCAUCUUUGAACCUAAUGGUGUGAAAAUGUCAACUUCAAUGCUUUUUGGUGCUUCCAGUAAUGGCCUUGUGACACUAAGUUGGGCUUUGAAUUCUUUUUAUGAAAGUGAGGGAGGGAGUAAAUUGAGGUAUAAGUGCAGAAAAUGAAAUGAAAUCAUUAAUUAGUUAAUGGGUUCAUAUAUGCACUCAUUUUCUUCAAAACUAUUACUCUCUCCCUCCCUAAAUAACUGACGUUUAAGAAUUCUUUGCAACAAUUAAAAAAAAUUAAACAUGACUCUUUUGUCCUUAAUAAAUAAAUUAACCAAACAAGAAAUAAUUACUCCACCACGUUAAAAUCUUAUCAGUUCUAUUUGUUGCCAUAAUUGUUGAUAGAAACAAGGAAGAAGAUGCAAGGCCAAUGGCUCAUCCAAAAUUUUUUGCCGCUAAAUUUUUGCUUCAAUUUUCUUUUUCGCUCUAAUAUAUUGUUGAUACCAGCAUAAAGAAAGAAGCUUGAAGACGUCAAUUGCUUGACUUCUGCUACUCACUUAGGAAGCUUGAAGACGUCAAUUUUUUUCCUGUAUCUGGUGAAGACUUCUGCUACUUAUUUAGGAAUCCAUGGAGAUGAACAAUUGGCUUCCUAAUCAUAGCAAGGAGGCAUUAGGAGACAGAGUUUGAAAAACAAUCAAAUUCAUCCCCAACCACAUGAACUAUACAGAAACUAAGAAACCUGUAACCAAAUUUCAAAUGACAAAGUCAUUUUUCUAGCAACCAAAUCCUCUCAAAUUGAAGUUUGUCAUUCUCUCAAAUUGAAUAGAUUGGUUCUUGGUUUGGGGCAAGUGAUAUUGCUAUAUCCUAUAUUUAUUCAGCAAGACAAUGCAAGAACUCAUAUUGCUUUGAAUGAUAAGGAAUUUUGUCAAGCUGCUGCACAAGAUGGGUUUAAUAUUUGUUUGAUGUGUCAACCUGCAAAUUCUCCAGAUUUGAAUGUUUUGGAUCUCGGAUUUUUCCAUGCCAUUCAAUCAUUACAACAGAAAGAGCCUAUUAAAAAUAUUGAUGAGCUGGUAAAUGCUGUGGUGAAGGCUUUCAACGAUUAUCUUACAUUGAAGUCUAACCGUAUAUUUUUGUCAUUACAACUGUGUAUGAUAGAAAUAAUGAAGGCCAAAGGUUCGAACAAGUACAAGAUACCACAUAUCAAAAAAGCAUUGUUGGAAAGAGAGGGCAGCCUACCGACUCAAAUAAAAUGUGAUUUUGAAUUGGUACAAGAAGUUAUGAAUUAUCCAACUCCAUUUGAUGUAGGUAUGACUUGAAUUUUUGUAUACUAAUAUCUGUAAUUGUCCUUAAAUAGGUGUUGGUUGAUUUAAUUGGUUCUCACAUUGUUCUACAGACUAACUCAAGUGCUUUUCAAUUUUAAGUUAGAGGCCUUUUGUAUGCAGUUGCCAAGAGCUUCUUAAUUUUGGUACUACAGACUAACUCAAGUGCUUAAUGUUGGUGUUUUUAUGUUGAAAAUGUUAUUAAGACUGCUUAAUUUGGUUUUAACAAUGUUGCUUAAUUUUGGUUUAUUCUGGUGGAUGCAUUCUCUUCAAUCUACUGUCUUGAUCAUUGUGUUCUUAUAUUGAAGUUAAAAUUCUGCUGGUGUAUGAAUUUUGCUGAAAACUUCUUUUAAAAAUAAUGUAUGAUUCUAACAGGAGCAGUUGGGAAUUUUAAGUUAUAAAUGUAUUUACAAUCUAUAGUAGAUUUGCUAAUGAAUAGGCAGUUGCCAACCGACCUGGUGCAUUCACUUCUUAUCAGUCCCAAACUUCACAAGAAAUACAUUAUAGAUAGUACAAUUUUUUGCUUUGGAUGUCAUUACUAAUUUCAAUAUGCGAAAUUUAGUUGUAUUUCCACUAAUUCAAUGAUUUUUCACUCGGUAUACAGGAUGCAUGUUGAGAAUGUAAUUUUAUGGCAAUCUGGCUAUACCAUAAAAAUAAUUCCAUGAAGCCUUACAUUUCAAGGUUACACACACCAGGAUUCAAAACCACAAGAAUGCAAAACACACGCCGAAGCACAAAAAAAUACAACAGCAGAUGGAUGAAAACAGUAUCUACUGUAUCUUCCUUCAUGUUCUAUUUUCAGGAAGCAACUUUAGAUGGGGGCAUGACUAAAGCAUUGCAAUGUUGACAUAAGGUUUAAGACAUGUGAACCAUCAGCCAAUUUUAAUGUGUUGUUGCUAAUGAGAAUAGAACUCUCUCUUGUAAAUCUUUUCUAUUAGAUGCUCAUUCAUGAAACUCAAUAAAAGAGCAGAGCUACAAAUAGAUUUUAAUGUAUAAAAUUAUUAUAUAAAUAUUAGACUCAUUCUGAUGGAUUCCUAUGCUUUCUAAGCUUCAUUUUCUUUGUGCUACUAUUCGAGAUAAUAAUUUUGGUAAGCUUGAAUAACAUCCUCAAGCUUCACUUGAACAUGAAGCCAUUAGCAAUAAGAUAGUCAAGACCAUUAAAGAUAUGGCUACAAAAAAUCACCAAACUCAUCCUCCAACUCAGUACCCUUCAAAUGCUAAGUUGCUUACUUGAGAUAACAGUAAUUCUUCACAUUAACCUGAAAGAAAAUUGAAAAUUCUGACAUGAAAGAGGAAUAUGACAAGGUCAAGGCUAUGCUUUCAAACAAACACAUAAUACGAUCUCCGAAUACAGGCCAUGCAAGCAUUUGAUAAUAUACUCUAUUUUUUUUCAUUCACUAAAUGAUGAUUUUCAACAAACAGAGAGUUCAUUCAAAAAUUUAACAUUACAACUGACAUGGUUAAUAAAAUUUUGAAAGAUACACUUCAUCUUCAUCUUCAAUUUGGGUUUACAAUAUACUCUGUUUUUUUAUAUUCUCUCUCUCUAAAAUUCCUGUUCUACAAAAUACUCCAUGUUGUUCUCGAAACUCUCUUCCUGCCAGGAAAGUAAAUAGAUAUUAUUAGAUUCGCUAUAUUCAUUGUAUAGUAUAAUUCCCAUAUAAUCCCAUUUACCUAACUUAGCCUAACUAUCCUACGAUAGUCCCACAAAUCAAGCAGAAUAGAAUCCUUCCCAUAUAUUAAGGAUUCUCAUGUAUCAAUUAGUUUGUAUAACGAAUCCUUCCCAUAUAUUAAGGAUUCUCAUGUAUCAAUUAGUUUGUAUAAAUAUUAACCUUAAAGAAAUAAAAUACUCAGGGAAAUAAACUCUUUUAUGGUAUCAAAGCCUCUUCUUCUCCAAAUCCCCUUCUUUAUUCUUCCCCAUGGCUACCCUUCACCCUGCCCUUGCUAUAAACAACAUCAAAAAUCAAAUUCCCGUCAUCUUAGCCAUGGAUAAUGAUGAAUACGAUACCUGGGUGGAGUUGUUCCGUCUCCAUUGCACUGCCACCCUGGUCCUCGACCACAUCCUGCCCCCCGCCCGAUCCACCGACCAAUCCCCCUACGGACCCCGCUAUCUAGGCUCGUCUGGAUGCCGUCGUCCUCCAGUGGAUUUACGGAACUAUCUCCAAUGAUCUGCUCCACACCAUCAUUGCCCCAAAAUCCACCGCUCGACAGGCGUGGAUAAGUCUGGAAAAUAUAUUCCAGGAUAACAAGGCCACCCGUGCUGUAAGUUUGGAGCAGGAAUUCAACACUAUCCACCUCAAAGACUAUCCGUGUAUCACUGCAUAUUGUCAGGCCCUGAAAAAGCUCUCUGACCGUCUCACGAAUGUCGGCGCUCCGGUCACAAAUCAACGACUGGUCCUCCGGCUCAUCGUCGGCCUCAACUCCAACUACGAUGGCAUUGCUACUUUCCUUUCUCAAAGCUCGCCCCUACCAACAUUCUCCGAGGCCCGUUCACGAUUAAUCCUUGAAGAAACACGAAAAGCUAAUCAGGCUGCCAUGGAGGCAACCACCGCAGACACUGCCUUAUAUCAUCAGUCCCCGCCAGACCCGAAACUGGACAAUUCGUUCACCCACAAACGUCCAAAUUUCCGCGGAUCUGGCCACGGUAAGGGCCGUAACAAUCGCCGCCAGGGUCGUGGGGGUGGCCACGAUGCAUCCUCUGGUGGCUCCUCUGCUUCUGCCAUUUAUCCCUAGGCUCCAUAUCAGCCGUGGAGAUGGGGGUGGGCCCCACCUUGCCCCUACCCCACCUCUGUCAAUCCGCGCUCUCCACCGAGCCGCUACCAUGGCAUACUCGGCCGAGCACCGCAACCCCAGGCCCAUGUUGCCUCAGCUGCUGCUCCCGACGGUCCUUCCCCGACAGACAUCGAGGCUGCGAUGCACACUUUGGGUUUAACUCCUCAGGACCCGAAUUGAUACAUGGACACCGGUGCAACUUCUCACAUGACUCCGUCUCAAGGUAAUCUCUCAUCUUAUUUUAAUUUGAGCACUAAAAGAAAUAUAAUAGUCGGUAGUUGCCAAGGAAUACCAAUUCGGGGCUACGGACAGGUCACAUUACCUCCCAUUUACCCUCGCCUUAAACUACAUAAUGUUUUACAUGCCCCCAAGCUCAUUAAAAAUCUGAUUUUCGUUCGCCGUUUCACUACCGAUAAUAACGUAACAAUUGAAUUUGACCCUUUCAGUUUUUGUGUGAAGGAUAUCCGGACGAGACAACCAAUCUUGAGAUGUAACAGCACUGACGACCUAUACCCUCUACUACCCUCCCCUACCACCCAACGCAACCCGACAGCCCUAACCACCACAGCUCCGUUUUUAUGGCACGAAUGUCUGGGACACCCGGGGCCAGCUAUUCUUCGUUCAUUGCGUCAAAAUAAAUUAAUUUCUUGCACCUCUAGAAAUAGUUUAUCUAAGUGUCAGUCUUGUAUUUUCGGGAAACAUAUUAAGUUGCCAUUUAUUGAUUCUUCUAGUCAAACAUUGUCUGCUUUUGAUAUUAUUCACAGCGACUUAUGGACCUCACCAGUUUUGAGUACUGCAGGACACAAAUACUACUUAGUAUUACUUGACGAUUAUACAAAUUUCUUGUGGACCUUUCCAAUUGGCCAAAAAUCCCAGGUUUAUCCCAUAUUCUUAACUUUCGCAAAAUAUAUAAACACACACUUCAAUAAACAAAUAAAAAAUUUCCAAUGCGACAAUGGCCGAGAAUAUGAUAACUCAAAUUUUGCCCAGUUUUGUAAAAACCACGGAAUGAGUUUCCGUCUCUCCUGCCCCCACACAUCAUCUCAAAAUGGUAAAACCGAACGUAAAAUCCGCUCCAUUAAUAAUAUCAUCCGCAGAUUACUCCACUGCGCAUCCAUGCCCUUUUAUUUUUUGGCAUUAUGCGCUCCACAUGGCAACCUACAUAUUUAAUAUACUUCCCAGCAAGCUUCUUGCUUACUCCUCCCCAACCCAACUCUUAUAUCAACCCACACUUUCCUACACACACCUCCGUAUUUUCGGCUGUUUAUGCUAUCCCCUAUUCCCACCCCCCACCAUACAUAAACUCCAAAAACACUCCACCCCGUGUGUGUUCUUAGGAUAUCCCCCCAAACAUCGUGGAUACAUGUGCUACGACCUCUCUAGUGGCAAAAUUAUCAUAUCCCGCCACGUGAUUUUUGAUGAGUCCAAUUACCCCUUUGAGGCUGCCCCGUCCGCUGCCCCCACUCCACUCGCCAGAGUCGAUGAUGACCCUUCCCCUCUAUUACAUGAGCUCAUUGACCCCACCUCGGGUGCCCCAUGUACGACACCACCUGUCUCCCCCACUCGGACAGAUCCACCGCGGCAUGACUCCCCACCCCCUGUACCAUCAAAUACCACCACAACCUCCCCUAUCACAACCCCAUUCCCUCCCUGGACAAUGACCACUCGCGGUAUGCGCGGCAUUUUCAAACCAAAAUAUCCCCUUAACUUAUCUAUUAUCUCCAGCCCUUCCCCCAUACCUCGUAACCCAAUCAGUGCCUUGUCCGACCCGAAUUGGAAAUAGGCCAUGCUCGACGAGUACAAUGCUCAUAUUAUUAAUAAGACUUGGGUAUUAGUUCCGAGACCACCUAAUGUGAAUAUAACUCGGUUCAUGUGGGUUUUUCGGCACAAAAAGAAAUCUGACGGUUCUUUUGAACGGCAUAAAGCCCGUCUUGUUUGUGAUGGCAGGUCCCAGCAGGUUGGCAUCGAUUGUGAUGAGACGUUCAGCCCAGUUGUCAAACCGGCCGCCAUUCGUGUAGUUCUCAGUCUUGCUCUGUCUCGAUCAUGGACUAUUCACCAACUUGACGUCAAGAACGCUUUCUUACAUGGCCAUUUGCAGGAAACAGUCUAUAUGCAUCAAACUCCUGGUUUCCGUGAUCGUCACCAUCCCGACUAUGUCUGCCUAUUGAAGAAAUCCCUUUAUGGCCUCAAACAGGCUCCACGAGCUUGGUAUCAGCGAUUUGCUGAUUUUGUUUCGACUAUUGGCUUCACUCACAAUCGGGUGAUCAUUCCCUAUUUAUUUAUCAUAAUAAUAAUGACACCGCCUAUCUGCUCCUCUAUGUUGAUGACAUCUUGCUUAUUACCUCAUCUGACAAGCUCCGCCAGUCAAUCAUGUCUCGUCUUGCCUCCGAAUUUGCCAUGAAAGACUUGGGUUCCUUGAGCUAUUUUCUAGGUAUCGCAGUAACUCGACAUAAGGAGGGCCUUUUCCUGAAUCAACGCCAAUACGCCAAGGAAUUAAUUGAGCGCGCAGGUAUGACCGACUGUAAGCCAUGUGCCACUCCCAUUGACACCAAACCAAAACUUAGCUCGGUCUCUGGAUCACUUUAUAGCAAUCCCACAUUGUAUCGUAGCCUUGCAGGUGCCUUGCAAUAUUUUACAUUCACCAGGCCAGACAUCUCCCAUGCCGUUCAACAGGUAUGCCUACACAUACACGCACUAAGCAAUGACCAUAUGGCUAUUCUUAAACGUAUCAUCCGCUACGUCAAAGGAACAAUAACUUUCGGCCUUCACCUUUACGCCACCCCUGCUACUGAUCUUGUAUCUUACACCGAUGCCAAUUGGGGCGGCUGCCCAGACACCAGAAGAUCAACAUCCGGGUAUUGUGUUUUCUUGGGCGAUAACUUGGUCUCUUGGUCCUCUAAACGCCAACCAACCAUGUCCCGCUCCAGUGCUGAAGCUGAAUAUCGGGGCGUUGCCAACGUCGUCUCUGAAUCCUGUUGGCUCCGAAAUCUACUACUUGAGCUCCAUUGCCCCCCACGAAAAGCUACAAUUGUUUAUUGUGACAAUGUGAGCGCCAUUUACCUAUCCGGCAACCCUGUCCAGCACCAAAGAACUAAGCAUAUUGAAUGGAUAUCCAUUUUGUCCGUGAACAGGUUGCUCGGGGUCAAGUUCGUGUUCACCACGUACCGUCCCGUCAUCAAAUUGCUGACAUCUUCACUAAAGGUCUUCCGCGCGUGCUUUUCAAUGAUUUUCGGGACAGUCUCAGCGUUCGUGAACCUCCCGCUUCGACUGAGGGGGUGUAUUAGAUUCGCUAUAUUCAUUGUAUAGUAUAAUUCCCAUAUAAUCCCAUUACCUAACUUAGCCUAACUAUCCUAUGAUAGUCCCACAAAUCAAGCAGAAUAGAAUCCUUCCCAUAUAUUAAGGAUUCUCAUGUAUCAAUUAGUUUGUAUAACGAAUCCUUCCCAUAUAUUAAGGAUUCUCAUGUAUCAAUUAGUUUAUAUAAAUAUUGACCUUAAAGAAAUAAAAUACUCAGGGAAAUAAACUCUUUUAGAUAUGAUUAAUAAAAAUUAGGGAGAUAGAUCUUCAACAUAUCCAUGAUAACAUCUUGAAAUUUUUCUUCACAAACUUCUUCGGCUACAUUUGGAAACUUGUUCAAAUCGAAUCCGAGAUCCGCAGGUUGAUUCAAAUCAAAGUUUCUUGGAACUUUGAUAUUUUCAGAAUCAAAAUUCACGAAAUCUCCAUUUUCUUGCAUUUUCAAUCUAUGGAGUACUGUGUUUUAAGAGAAGAAUUGCAGGUAUGGUUUCUUAGUUCCAUACAGGUCAAGCAAUCAAUCCACUCUUGGAAACCAACGAGAAUGUCAAGAGCUUUUUUUCUUUUUUGAACCAGAACCAGAAGACGCUAGUACUAAGAAGAAAGGGUAGUAUUGGAAUAAAAGUGGACAAUUUAGCUUUAAACUUUUAAAACAUCUAUUAUUUUAAGAAAAAUAAAAACUCCUUAAACGUCAGAUAUAAUAGGAUGGAGGGAGUACUACUUUUUUCAUUGACCGAGUGCUGAUAUUCAUCAUCCAUCAAAAUAUAUAGUCCUUUGAAUUCUAGUCUCCAAUACUCUGGGAAAAAAAAUAUCAGCUGAAGAAAAAAAAUACAAAGUGCAUGCAUGACUCACAUGUUACAACUUAUUUUAAAUUUGAUCAUAAAAUGGAAAGUUUUUAUUUAUUUUUGCCGUGAUGUUUAUGAAUGGUUCCAAAUAUUACAAAGAUUUUUAUCUUUGAACUGUUGGAGAUGGGGUUACUUCGAUGGUUCGUUCAAAUAUUUUUAUUUCACAAAUUACUACUAUUUCAGAUACGUCAUGGUGUAGGAUUUUUUGGAUACGCACACGCACAUAAAAUAAAUACAAAACUUCCUAUUCCCCAUCUUCGUCGGUAUAACAAUACAUUCUACCAGGUACAUAUCAGCAAUAUGUCAUCUGCAGUAUAAUAAUAUAUUCACAGUAUAAUUAACUUACCCUUAACCUGACCCUGACAUAUUGCCAAGUGUUUGAGAUUAAUUACUUAGCUAUAACCUUGUUCGACGAUAACUUAAAUGAUACAGACGGAGGAGUUAACUUACCUCCUCCUUAAUUCUUGUUCUUAAUCUUAUCCUUGGACCCUUCACGAGGUUUUUGUGUUGUUCCUUCCCCUAUCUCUUAGGACUUAGGAGUCAUUAUUAGGGUUGGCUUCCUUUAGCCUACUUUAUCUAGAUGCAUGAGAAAGCUCCAUCUAAUAACAGACUCAAUAUUGACGUCUUGCUUCCAAAGCAUAGUGCUUACAAUUAUCACCGGACAUGUGUAUGUUGUGUUGCAGGCCGGUUAGUGAGUCUAGUCCUCACCUUUACCUUCAUUGUCCUGUAAAAUGGGAGAUUAAUUUGGCAUAACAAUCAUCCGCCGAAUCACAAGUCCCCCCUCGUACGUAUUUUUCUUCAUUUCCUCCACCAGAUGCCUUUAACAAAGACCACCCUCCUGCACACACAUGUACAUACAUAUAUAUAUAUAUAUAUAUAUAUAUAUAUAUAUAUAUAUAUAUAUAUAUAUCAUAAUAUGAAUAAUUAAAGAGAGAGAGAGAGAGAGUAAUUAAUUACCAGGUACAAGAAGAAUCAUGAGGAUGAUCAAGUAAGCGAACUUGUUGUAUGAAGCCUUCAAGGCCAUAUUUUUGUAUAUAUGCUACAUACCAAAAAAUAAUGAAGUUCAUAUAUAUGGAGUAUAUCGCUUGAUGCACGAAUGAAUAUGUAUAAGGAGAGCCAAAACGUCGUCCUCUAUAAUUAAAUGAUGAAAAUAAUUAAGCUGAAUUUCCUAACCCUAUUAUAUAUAUAUAUUCACUUAUACGUGAAAUAAAAAUCAUUAAAGAUACUCUCCACUCUGCAAAAAGAUAUUCAAUUAUUUUUUUUCUAUUUAAUUUACAAAAAGAUAUAUAUUUGUGUAUCAAGCAAUAUAUAUGAACUUCAUUAUUUAAUUUGAGAAUAUUCAUUCUGCAAAAUACGUUGCCCUUGGUCAUGAUGUAUACACCGGUCAAAAUUUGGUCAAACUUAAAUUGUUUUUUUUUUAAUUUUUCUUAUCCUAGCUGAUGUUAUAAAAAAAGUUGUUUAGGACUAUAAAUAAGUACGCUUAUUAGGGGUGCUUGUGAACAAAUACGUUUUGUUUAAUUGAGAAUAUUAUUUUUCGUUCUCUUUAUGAGUUCUUUAUCUUUUUUUGCGGAUUCAAGCUAGGAUUUUUAUUCUGUUCUUGUUGGUACGAUAACCUUCAAAUCACUUUUGUGUUAGAGCGUUACAAUUUAACCAUUAUUAAUUCUGCUACGUAUGAAAGAUAAAUUAAAUAAUUUAAAUUUUAUUGUAGGGAUAAUAUGAUAAACUAAGUCAAUAUAUUAAUGCUUUCUUAAAAUAUAAAAACGAUAAAUAAAAAGGAACGAAUUAAAUUUUACUCUAUAGAAAAACAAAUACAAAAAGAACGGAGAGAAACUAAUUAAUAUAGACGUAUUUCGUGGGAAACUGACAUGUUAGAAAAUUAAUUAAGAAAGCUAAAACUCAAUAUUUAAGGUAAGCUAUAAAUUUAUGUUAUAUUUAUUUUUAAAUUAAUUUAAAUAAACGUAUUUAAUCGUGUUAAACGUGUCAAUCAGCUAAUUAUGCAUGUGAUUGACACAUUUAAAUUUUGUGGUAAACGUGUUGAUAUGUUUAUGACAUAAAAAUUGUUUACACUUAAUACUAACCCUCUCUAAUUGUAUGUUGUGUUAGUGUCGAGUUACCGUGUCAUGUUAGAAAUUGUCACUCCUCAUAUAAUUAAAUAUGAUAUGCAUGGUGAAUAGUAUGAUUUAAAACAGCAGUUCAUCAUAGAAACACAAGGACAUCAUACAUUAGAAUUUAUGGAAUUGGUAGUAUCAACAUAAAAAAGUGUUCUAUUUUUUGAAAGAGUACUGUAGAAGACUGAAAUAUAUCAAAUAUAUUAUGUUUUAAUGAAAAAAAUUACAAGUGAUUCUUGUUGAAUGAAAAAGAGGCCGGUGUCAUUGAUUCUUGUUGAAUGGGGGAUAAGACCAUAUGAGGAUUGAAAACAAUGUUUGGAACCUAAAAAAAACUGUCUUAUGAACAUAUCCACACUUUAUAAAGAAUUAAUCAAGCGUAAUUAAUUGACCAAUUGUUAAGUAAAGUGGGCAAAUUAAUUAAUCCUUACAUAAAUAAAAGCUAUAUAUAUAUAUAUAUAUAUAUAUAUAUAUAUAUAUAUAUAUAUAUAUAUAGAAUAUUGGACAAGACGGGGCAAAAAUUUGCAUAAACAAUAUAAAAAAAAUAGAGAAUUAAUAUUUUUAUUUUACAGUGAGAUCUAGUGAGGAGGAAUUUACGCAAUUAAUAUUUUUAUUUGUAAAAAUAUCAAUUAUCAAAGUCAAUAGAUUGUAAUAACUCGCGUUUGUUAUAAAACUUAACAUCAUCAUAAUCCAUAACCAUAGCCAUAGAGAGACUCACGCACAUAAAAAACGAAGAAGAAAAAGGAGAGGUAGAAAUUAUAACAGCUGGAUUUUAUAUAUUGGUAAAUUGAUUGAUAAUUAAUAGUGAUGACAUGGAUCAGAAACACGCGCAGGCGUUUCGUAUACACAUUGGAGCCAAGGUUCUACCACAGCACUGACGGCAGUCAUUGAGAUCUUGACAUACUAUGUUGCAGUUGCGAAGAAUACCCUCGCACCCAUUCCAAGGUUUGUCGUCAGAGCUGGACGUCAAUUCCGGCGCCGAAUAAUUAUGGCGAUGGUCAACACAUGUCCAGUUGCCUUUCAUAUAUUUGGGAGUCCCUACUUUACAUGAAACUUUGCAUUCGCCGGAAGUUAUACUCUGUGGCCUCAUCCCACUAUUUGCGACUGAUAAACCUGCCCAUGCAAUGACAUACAUACAUGCAAACAUAUAAUUAGUGACAUUCAAAUAAUCUGUCGCUAUUGUAAAUUGUUCACAAAUACUAAUACUAAUAUUUUUAUAUAUAUAUUUAUGUUCGUUAAGAGAGACUAACCAGCAACAAGAAGCAAUAGGGCUGACACGAAAAGCAGCUUAAACGAGUACUUCCCCAUAUGUAUAUCUAUUGCCUAUUGGUGAUGUGAUUUAUAAGCAACUAUGCUAUCAGUUUUACUUAAUUUGCAAUGUUAUACUACUAUAUUAAGAAUGAGUAUGCUCUACCAAGAGGGGAAGAAACAUGAAUAUAUAUAGAGUAAAGGGCAUUAAUUAUUUAGAUUACAAAAACUAUCCAGAUUAUUAUCAAUUAAUGUCAGAUUACAAUAUUUUAUUUGGCAAUUAAUAUUGUCAGAUUAUAAAUAAUAUUGGCUGACCAUAUAAUAAAUAUUGGUUAACGUGUUCUCUAUAACAUUAAUAAAGGUUUUGCUAAAUACACAUUUGUUCAGUUAGCAUCAUUUUGUGCUAUAUAUGACAAUAUCACAAUCUCUUAUUUAAUCUUUAAAAAAAUAUUUUAUUUAUUAUUUUAAUAAAUUAUGGAAGUUUUCAUCUCCAAUAAUGUGAUAUCAGUAGAAAAUUGAUAUUUUCACAAGUAAAAAUAAUAGUUUCACAAAUUUUCUCUCACAUAAAUAAUUAAUGGGUUUCAUUGUGGAAAUAUCAGUUUUUACUUGUAAAAAUAACAAUUCCCUAUCAUUAAUUACUUGACUAUGUAUUGGUUAUGUCUUAAAUAUCAUUUGUCUUAUUUAAUGUUUUGCAGACAUAUUUGAAAAUAAAAAGCGAAUUAUUACUCUCAAGAAAAUUUUGAUAUUUUCAUAAGGUUUCUCUUAUACGAGCGUCGGUCACAUUUAUUAUUCAUGUGAAUGGAACCUACCUUAUAGAAAUAUCAAUUUUUCAUGUACAAAUAUUAAUUCCCAAAAAAAACACUUGAUACGGCCCCCUGCAUUAGUUUAUUUAUUUUAGGAUAGUCUAGUAAUUUUAUUGCGUAUGUUGUUAAAAAAAUAAUAAUAAAUAACUCUCUUAAGAUGGUUUUUCUAUAAAAAAAAAUCAAUAUAUAUUUAUUAGCUAAAUUGACCAUAAUUUGUCUCAUGUCAAUCUUUUUGGUAAUUUUGAACCUUUUUAAAUAUAAUUAUUAUCAAAUUCUCCCUUAGUGUUCUAUUCUUCAUUAUCCAAAUAAUCAUGAAAUGAUCUGGCAUUAGGAUGGGUAUAUAUGAUAUUAAUUACUGCAUUCGUUUAAGUUUAGAGACAGAAAAUAGAAGAUUAAGUUUAAACUUUUUAUAGUUAAAUUGAGAUCUUUUAAAUUAAAAAUUAAUGUAAUUCAUUUAAUUUUUGAAAAUAAUAUAAUUUGUAAUUAAUAGAACAAUUUAAAUAGUUUUCAUGAUUGUAUUAUCUAAUUUUAAAUGAAUUUAUAUCAAUUUAAAAUUUAAAAUAAUUUUAAAAAAUCGCUAUUAAUUCUACGAGGAAAAGAAAAUGAUCAAGGAAUAUUAUUGCAAUCAAGGAAUUCAAAUUUUUUUAAUUUAAAUUCUCUAAUACAUGUUAUUGAGCUCCCUCUCAUAUCAACAGUAAAUGAAUUCCAUAAUAAAUUUAUUGCAACAACACUACUCGGUCCUAAUACACAUCAGCUUACAUUCCGACAUUGCAACAUUACGGAGUAAUUUAUAAUUAGAUUAUGGAAAUUAAGUGAACGUAAAAAACGUUGUUUUCCAUCAUUUUAUUUAUUUUUUUAUUUUUCUAACCACUUAAAACUUCAAGACAAUUAGACCUGACCCAAACCCACGGGUCGCAUAACUCAUCCUCUAAAUUCAAGAGUUUGGACUUAAAUUAAUGUCACCGGGUCUUUUUGACUCCGUCCAUUUAAACCCAACCUGUGGGUGAUCCGAUCCAUUAGUUAAUAUUUAAUAUUAUUUUUACUUAAAAUUUCUCCCAUUAAUAUGCACUAAUAAGUUAACUCUCCAACUAUUUCAUCUUCUCUUUAUAAUUAACCAUCACUCCUUCCUAAUUCUUUUGUCGUUUUGCAACUAUCGGUACUAUUCAUUCUCCAUACAUAAAAAGGUUGACCUUAAGGGCACAUUUUAAGCACUGAAUUCAAAAUAUAAGACCCACUGAAAAAUAAUUUUAAAUAUGUAAAAUAAUAUUUCAAUAAGACCGUAUACAUUUAAAAUUAUAUUUCAAUGAACUUCAUCCCUUAAAUUUCGUGUUUAACACGUGUUAAGAAAAUCCCUUUUUCAUCGUUUUAUAACAAAUUGAGUUUUAUUGUAUAGAAAACUUGGAAGUAAUUUAUGUUUUAUUAUUCAAAAGAAGUUGAAAUAAUUUCCGUUGUAAAAAAUAAUAGGUUCUUUACAAUAAUAUACAAUAAUCACUAAAUAAUUACACUAUUAGUGGAUCUAUAAAAUAAUUAUAAAAAUAGUACAAUUCACAUUAAUAAAGAAACCUAAAAUCAAAAAGAAAUAAUUGUCAUAAUUAAUAAUUCAAAUUCAAAUAUUUGAGAUCUAACAACAAAAACAAAUUCAAAAUAAUAAUUCACCCAAACUAAUAUGAGCAUAGAUCAGAUAGCCCGUCAGUAAGUCCAAUAACCCAAACAAAACAAAUUACUUGUACAUCCGAAACCAUAAAAAUAAAAUUCGAUGUAUUACAAACUUUUCCUUUCUUAACGAAGAGAGAUCAUAACAUUCACCGCCAUUGUAAUCUGGUGCGAACCACAUCAAGUAGAAACCUUCAUCUUCGAAUAUUACAGUGGACUCGCAGAGAAAAUAUUAGUCAAGCUUCAGCAACUGGAUAGAGAAGCAUGGCUAUUUGAUUUUUCACAAUUUUUUCAUGUCCGAAAAUUCCAAUUCCAAUUUCGUGGUCAAAAGAAAAUAAGAACACUGUAUAUGAAAAAGAGAGAUAAGAGAGUGAUGUGUAAUGUAAUGUUAAUAACCAAACAUUCGUACCAAGGUAACCAAACUAUUAUACCAAGGUAACCAAUCUACCUCCACACAUGCAGUAUGAAUUGGUUACCUUGGUUUGAAAGUUUGGCAACCAACGGUAUGAAGGUUUGGCUACCAACUGCAAUAACAUUCAAAAUAAAUUGGUAAUUUAAUAAAACUGAAUUGGUUAUCUUGGUAUGAAGGUUUGGCUACCAACUGCACUAUAAAAAAACUACAGGUGUGGAUGUGGAUUGGUUACCUUGGUACGAAGAUUUUGUUACCUUGGUAUGAGGAUUGGUUAUCUUGGUAUAAAGGUUUGAUUACCAACAGCACUAUGAAAAAACUGCACCUGGAUGGAGUAAUUAAUAAAUGUCAUACACAUUUUUUUUAGUAAGUGGGCAUGCACCUAGCUUAAACCCAUAUAUAUAAAAACAGUAAAACCCCUAUUUAAGAAUAUUCUAUAUAAGAAUAACCUCUACAAUAUUAUAAAAAAAAAUGGUCCCAAUUUGGGCCAGUUAUAAAUAUGAAUAACUUCUAAAUUGUAAUAUGUUAUAUACUCCCUCCUAUUCAUAUUAAAUGUCUUUUUAGAGUUAAACACACUUUUUAAGAAAUAACACAAAAUAUCUUUUGUAUCCCUAAUUAAUUAUUUCUCUCUCCACAAUGGUCCAUGGAAUUGUAUUUACUAAACAUAUUAAAUAGAGGGGUAAAUUAAAAAAAAAUAGUGUAAUAUUACAUAGGGAUUCCAAAACAACACUUAUAUAGAAUAAAAUGAAACUCUAUAAAAAGAUAUUUAAUAUGAAUAGGAGGGAGUACUUUUUAAGUCUCGUAUUAAAAAAUUAUACCUCUAUAUAGUAAUAAUUUCAUAUAUAUAUAUAUAUAUAUAUAUAUAUAUAUAUAUAUAUAUAUAUAUAUAUAUAUAUAUAUACACAUAUAUAUAUAGAGAGAGAGACAAUAUUAAUUUUAAAAGACUAUAUUUUCUAUAAAAGACUACAUUUUCUAUAAAUAACUACAUUUUCCUAUAAAAUAUUAUAUUUUCCUAUAAAAGACUAUAUUUGCUAUAAAAGACCAUAUUUUCCUAUAAACAUUUUCUAUAAAAGACUACAUUUUCCUAGUUUGAAAAUCUAAAUAAUUUAUGUGAGUUCUUAUUGACAUUUUGUUAAUGUGAAUAUUUUUGGGUGUUCGAAAAAUAUUUUGUACCAAUACCGCUAUUUAGUAAUAACCUCUCAAUUAGAAUACAAAUAAUUUGGUCAUAAAUUUAUUCUUAAAUAGAGGUUUUACUAUAUAUAUAUAUUUAGAGAGAGAGAGUCAGGAUUAAGUGCAUACCACUUAUCUUACUCACUCGUGCUCACCCCCCUUUAGGCGACGAUUUCGGUUAUACAACCGUUGUCUAUACUUUUAACGACGGACAACAUAUAGCGUUGCUAAAAGUAUAAACGACGGUUGUAUGACAGAAACCGUCGCCUAAAGGGGGGUGAGCACGGGUGAGUAAGAUAAGAGGUAUACACUUGAUCCGGACCGUAUAUUAUAUAUAUAUAUAUAAAACAAAAUAUAAUUGAUUUUAAAUUUUCUGCUCACCUUAAUAAAUCAUCUGGGCCAACCAAAGUUUGAGAUAAAUCCUACUGUCCAUGUAGUGCCGGAGGCACGGGACGAAUCUAGAGUGAUUCUUUUAAAUAACACUCCCGCUUAAAUAUCAUUUCCUUAUUAAAACUAAUAUAUAUAUUAGAACGGAUGUAGAACACUCCUCUUAAAUAUCACUACCUCUUAAAUAUCACUCAUUAAUUUAUUAAAAUUACGUCGUUUUGGAGAUUCUUUUAAAAUACUCCAUACAAAAUAAUAAGUAUUAAAAUAUAGUGAUCCCACUUGUUUUUUUUUAUUUACAAAAAUAACACUCGCGACUCCACAUGUUUUUUUUUAAAAAUUUCAAAACAAUGUAGUUUUAAUAAAAUAGUGUUAUUUAAGAGAGAGUGAUAUUUAAAAGAAAUGCUUUUGAUCCGUUAUAUAUAUAUAUAUAUAUAUAUAUAUAUNNNNNNNNNNNNNNNNNNNNNNNNNNNNNNNNNNNNNNNNNNNNNNNNNNNNNNNNNNNNNNNNNNNNNNNNNNNNNNNNNNNNNNNNNNNNNNNNNNNNNNNNNNNNNNNNNNNNNNNNNNNNNNNNNNNNNNNNNNAUCGCCGCCGGAACCAAAACCGGACUGCAAAGAACCAGCACAGGGGUGGCUAGGGUCAGUGCGAUCACCGUUCCGACGAGGGUCAAGCCUGAGAGGACAAGAAAGGACCCAUCGGAACGGUGUUGUGCCGCGAUCAAAAAACAAUCAGUUGGGAGUUGUUGAUCUUGAUUACGAGGAUUCUGAUGAGAGAUGGACAAAUGGGAGUCAUUUUCUGUGUUGGACAUUGCUUUACUUUCAGUUAGAGAUACUGUGUGUUGAUGAAAGAAUCAAUGGAUGAGAGAGAGAAAAGGAUGAGGAAAACAGUGAGUUAGAUCUGUAAACAUUUUUGCCUUGUUUUGAUUUGGGGAGAUAGAAAAAAAGAGAAUAAAUUCACUAAUUAUGUAAAUAAAAAUUUUAAAUGCAUUAAUUAUGUAAAUAUUUUAUGAGUCCACUAUUGUUGUAAUUAUUAUAAUUAUUUUAAAAAAUAUACUAAAAAAAUAUAAUUAUCCCAUAAAAAAUAGGUGUUUUUAACCCAGCCCAAAAAACUCAUCCGAAAGUAUUACAACCAGCAUUAAAAUGAAAGUCAAGCUUAGAUAAUGAUAUUUUGGAUCCGAUUAUCAUAAAUUUAUUUAAUAAAAUAUUGACACGCAUUAAACUUCGUCUGCAUGUAAUUAAUCAAUUGAUUAAUUUACUCAAAAAUAAACUUUAUGCUAACAAUUUAUUUUUUAAUAAAUUGAUGAAUUAACAAAUAAAAUAUUGACACGCAUUAAACUUCGUCUAUAUGUACUUAAAAAUAAAUUUAUGCCGAUAUUUUUUGUUGGUAGGGUACUUUCUUUGUCAGUGGUAUUUUAUGUACCCUUUUUUUUUGGGUGAACAAUUGGAUAGAUUGUUUUGGCUUAUUUGAUUACUUUUAAUAAAUACCAUCAGAUCUUAGAAUGAAUACAAUACAUGGAACAAGUUAUUCAAAAAUAAAAAAUAAAUCUUGAUUUAUUUUUCUAGGUCUUGCCAAUUGACAUGGAUUAAUCAAAGGACAAUUUACAACAAGAAGAAAAAUGAUUUAGUGUAGCACCAUGCUCGUAAAGUCUGAAGGGUAAGUAUCCAACAGACCAUGUAUUUUGGUGCUUCAAAAUCCACACAAAAAAUUAAUAAAAAUUAUCAUAUUUAUUUAUAGGGGCUUCUUUUCAUUGCGGGUGAUUGAAGAAUUAGCAAAGCAAUCAGAGAACUUUGAAGACCAUAAUGGUACGAUAUGAACUCAACAUGGAGGUUCAGACAGAAAAAGCUCAUCAUUUUACUUUGCUAUUUUGUUUAGAUCUGGAUCUGAUUUCAAUUUCAAUUGGUUAAAAAGUAGAAGAGAUCAUUGUAGGUGUUUUGGCAAAUAAACAGAUGAUAUUAAACAAAAGAAAAGAAUACUGAGUUCAAUCGAAUCUUGUUUAUGCCAAAUAUAAAUUUUAAUUUAGCACCUUAAAAUACCAGAUCUCGAAUUUUCCUUUCAACUAUGCUUCAAGUUGAAAGGGGCUAUAUGGUGCAGCAGCAGCAGCAGGAUAGAGGAGGAGAGAGAAAAUAUAUACAUACAUACUAGGGAUUGAAGACUUUGGAGUUACCUACUAAGUACUUUUUUUAUAGAUAAA